UCCUCUUCUUUCCUCAUGAUCACCAUGACUCUUUCCAAACUCUUUCUUGCUUUCUUCCUUGUUGCUUUCUUAGUUUCCUCCAACUCUGCUAGAAACCUUCCCACCAAUCCCAAUGUUGACGACCAAAAGAACUUGUUCCACCGUCCUGGACUUGCCGGCGGCGGCCUUGGAGGCGGUGGUGGCCUUGGAGGCGGCGCUGGACUAGGCGGUGGUGCUGGAGCUGGACUUGGCGGUGGUGCUGGAGCUGGACUUGGUGGUGGUGCUGGAGGUGGAGGAGGACUUGGUGGAGGUGGAGGACUAGGUGGCGGGACUGGUGGUGGAUUUGGAGCUGGUGCUGGUGCGGGUGGUGGAGCAGGAGGUGGGCUUGGUGGUGGCGCAGGAGGAGGUGGGGGGGUUGGAGGCGGGGGGGGGGGGGGGGGGGGGGGGGGGGGGGGGGGGGGGGGGGGGGGGGGAGGGGGGCUGGGUUCGGUGGAGGGGCUGGUGCUGGUGGUGGCUUACCUUGAUUGGAAAGGCUCUCAUCAUUUCAUAAUUGUUCCAUGGCAAAAAAGUUGUGACCAUAAUUAAUAUUUUCUGAGAGUGAAAUUAAUUAAGCUAUCAAUGUACGUAUCUAGUAAAUUUAUGGGUAUGUUAUCCGGCCAGUGACAUUAAUGCAAUGCAAUGCCUUCUUCCUAAGAAAAACUGUUGGUAAUUUGCUGCAAGGUAUGUGGGUAUGGUGUUGAAAAUUGCAUGAUUGAUUGAAUAUACAAAUGGCUAAUGAUCCGUCUUUACUCUUUUAUCUCCAAGUAGAAAGUACGAGGAGGUGGAUGCAGACUAGAUACAGUUGGUAAUGGGGGCACGCAAACAUGAAAUAGCCGUGUUACGUCCAUUUAAUUAAUUAUAUCGAAUGAUUCUGAAUGAUAAGUAGUUGGUUGAAAGAUUAAUUAACUACAAUUUAAUAAUAAUUAAAGAUAGUUCAGCUGUCUGUUUCUGUAAUUAAAGAGGGGAGAUGCACCAAACUUGUGCGCAAUCAACACUCAAACAAAUCCUUGCAUGUUAGUUUGGUCGUCUGGAGAAAGUAUUGACAGUGAUAUUGUAUGUAGCCUACUAUCUAUAUAACUAUUUCGGGGACCUAUAGGGGAGAUAAUCAAUAUGCCCAUCUAUUCGGUGAGAUGAAGAAGAGUGAAAAGUUGGGGAUUCAGAGAGGGAGAUGAUGAACAGAAUGGAAAAAGUAGAUCAUUAGGGAAUGAGAGCGUAUAACAAGAGUCACUGUAAUAAAACUAACUAUCAGAAAUAACAACUAACUAACUGAUUCUUCCUUACAAAGCGGUAACAAACUUAACAGUUUGUUAUGGUCAAUACCCCCACAAACUAAGCAUGGAAGUUUCCAGGCGGACUUUGGAAAUCAAGUUGUGAAAGACAUGAACAGGGAGUUCUCUUGUCAAUGGAUCAGCAAGCCGAUUAUGAGUGGGGAUAUGCUGAAACUUGAGGAUGCCUUCAAGGACUUUAUCACAAACAAAGUGGCAGUCAAGUUCAACGUGUUUAGUGCGGUCGUGUUGAAUAGGAUUCUCCAUCAUCUUGACGGCAGAGAGAUUGCCGCAAUAGAUAGUAUAAGGUGAUGAAACCGUGAUGGGAAAGGCGGAGAGAAGACUGUGUAGCCAUUGGAGUUUCGCAGUUGUAGAAGCGAGAGCACGGUAUUCUGCCUCAGUGGAAGAACGUGGUAUGAUAGGUUGUUUCUUGAAUUUCCAUGAUAAGAGGGAGUUACCGAUGAAUAUAUAGUAACUAGUGACUGAUCGAUGGGAGUCAGGACAUCCGGCCCAGUCGGAAUCUGCUUUGUUUAAAUGUAUGCAAUGUUGUUUCAAUGGAUCAGUACUUUGUUUAAAUGGUUCAGUACUUUGUUUAAGUGCAUACUCUGAUUCGGUACAUCAAGUGCUUAAUAGUAGGCAGUAUCGUAAUCUGCUUGAGACGUUGGUGCUCGGAUUCCCAAUUUGUCGACGAUGUUUUAAUCAUUGUUGGGUUAUUUAAUUUUCUUUGGUUCGUAGGGUACCCCUAAAGUUCUAAUGGUUCUUGUUGUGCUUAAUCUAAAAAACAUAAAUAUUAGUCUGGUAGGUGGGGAUUGAUUAUUGGUUCCUUUGGUACUCAUAUCGAACCAAAAGUUCCAUUUGUGCUUAUACCUGGAGUUAGGCACAUAUUAUAUCCUACUUGAAUUUUGUUGUUUUGUAUUUAUUUAUUAAUUUUGGUUUUGAUAGUGUCAUAUACAGAUGUGGAGCUCCUUUACAAAAUCAAAGCUUGAGAUUGCAUUUGUUGAGUAUGGAGACGAGGAAUGGUUGGUUUGCAUGACUGCAGAGUGUUAAGAUACAUCAGAAUCUCAUGUUUAUUAUAGAAGCAACAUUCUAACUCGUUUGUAAAAUUGUUGGUUCAACCAAUUUGGAAUAAUAUUUGGUNNNNNNNNNNNNNNNNNNNNNNNUUAAUUCAAUAAAAUAAGAGACAGUCUAUAUUUACACAGUUAUAAGUUCAUUGGUGCAAAAGAAAGAGCUACCAAUAUGUGAUUUAGGAAAUUAAAUUAAACAAAUAAUUUAAUAGAAAAAGGACAAUUAAAUUAAACAAUUAAAAUAAAUCAAAACGUCAUCUUAAAAGAGGAGAUAAGAUUAAAACAAAUAAAAAACAUUCUGAAAAUCCACCAAUAAGUGAUUAAGGAGAGAUGAACGUAAUUUUAGGAUAUCAAAAUAAUUGUAAUAUAGUUUCUCAGUUAGUCAAUUGAAGAUUAUAAUUAAAAACGAAUUUAAACCAUUAAAUAAUUAAUAAAAAAUCUGACGGCCCUAAAAUAUUAUCACGGUGAGGGCAAAAAGGGGUGUCCUCACCUCAGAUUUUCUGGCAAACAAGUAAAUGGACCAUAACUCGGUAGUUUGAACUUCAACCGACGCGUGGUCAGAAGCUACGGACUCGUGGUAGCGAGAGGAAUCAUUUCAAGUAAGAAUCAGAGGUGUUAGACCUUCUUACCAAGUGGGGUUCUAGGUUUAAUUUUAUGUUUUUAGCGUAGAAUUGUAAAUAAGAUGUCACGAAUCCAUAGAUUGUGUUUCCUGACGAAACAGAACCGGGCUCUCAGUACUGUACUAUAGCGUGUGAUAUACUAUACAAGAGUUUUGAUGUGUUAUUAUUUAAAGCCGGGGUCCCAGGACUGUGCAGUAGCGUGUGAUCUACUAUGCAGACAAUUGAUUAAGUUCGAGCAUAAGCUCAUGACGUGGAGCUAUGAAGUUAUAGUUCAUGAUUAGGGCUGGACAACGGAACAGGGCUGGGUACCCGUCCCGUUUAACAAGGUAAAAAUCCUUCCCAUGUCCCAAACCCAUAUGGGUAAACGGGUACCCAUUACCCGUAUGGGACGGAUAGCGGGUACCAAUUUUACCCAUAAGUUACACGAAUAAUUUCAAGAUAUGAAAUAAAUAUCUACAAUUAGUAUAAUAUUAUAUAAAACUACUAAUGACUUUAGUCUAAUAUUACAACAUUACAUGGAUUCAACUCCAAUCCUAAUCCCAAUCUCAUUGGACUUUUCUACAUGUUUCAACCUUCAUUAAACGAUGCAAUUAUUUAUAAUUUUCUAGUAAUUUAAUGGGUAUUACGGGUACCUAUAAUCCCCGAAUGAGAUUUGUGGGUAAUCCACGGGUAUCCCUUAUGUCAAUUUGCAAUCCCAUAUCCCAUCCCGUUUGAGUAUUACGGGUAUUAUGGGUACCCAUAACCCUAAAAAAGGGGACGGGUAUGGGUAUACCCAAAUACCUGAUAGUGCUAGGAUUUUGUAGUGAUUAUCUAUCCCUAUCUGCAUACUUUUUGAGUGAAUAUUACGUUGUUCAUGCUUUAUUCUCGUGUAGUUUCGUGUUUUCGCAUUAUGUGCCUAGACCCGUUCACUUGGAUCAUUUCGGACCAUUUGAUGUGUUUCUUUGUACUAUUUGUUAUACAUAGGUACUUUAGAGAUAGGUGGUCAGGCUAUGAGGCUUUGGAUGCGGAAUAGAGCACGGUUGGAGCUCGAACGGUAGAACGAAACAAGAAAUGGUGAAGAAGAUGAGUUGUACGCUAUGCUUCACGGCACGUCGUAAAGUCCUACUUUGCAUUUCAGGCCAGGUACCAAAAAUCACGUUCCUUGUUAUUCGGGAUGUUGCCAAUUUCAGAACAGGGGGUGCAUGGUGUGCACCUCCUGGAUUCAGUAGUUUCCGUAUAAAAGGCGGAAUUUGAGGAAAGAGAAAGAAGAUCUUAUCCUGCAAAAAUCCAUAGAUUUUCCUCGACAUUCCUCUUCAAAAACACCAUAUCUCCAUCCCUAGAAGUCCAAUUAAAGAUCCAAAGGAUUCCCCAUUAAAGAUUGAAGUUAGGAUUGAAGCUAGGAGGCUAAAAGCGAAGAUUGGAGCACGAUCGUUUCAUCGUCUCCUCGUCAAGAUGGUGGGUAUGUCGUAUUCAAAUUUCUCCUCUUCUAGAGUUGUGAGUAGCUAAUUCUUUAGAGUUUCUUGGUUGGGAUGUAAGAAUUGAGCUAGGAUACUCUCCCUAAAAGUAUAGGGUCAACGAUUGUUGGAUAAUUGGAUUUGAAUGAAAGAUUGCUUCAAUUGUUGGGUUUUCAACCUAGUUCUUGUUACAACUUGAAUGAGGUCAAAUCUAUGAAUUCCUUUGUUUGAUCGACUUAGGAAAUCAUAUGAUUAACAAUCUAAGAUGGAAGAAAGUUAUUGGUGGGUGUAAGCCAAUAGCUCAAUUCUACCUUUCGUGCUUCUUUUGGUUUUAAUGGUUGUUCAUCGAGUAAUUUGCGGGCGGUCUGGUUUGUGCCCAAUCGACCAAGUUGGGUGUAGUUAUCAGUAGCUUAGUUGUUGAUGGACCAAAUUAACACUAUUUUCAAUUGCUUGUGAUUUCCUUUAAUUUUUAAAGAGCACCUUAUCACUUUGUAGAACUUCUCGGUGUUCAUUACUAGUUAGCCUAAUUGAGGUUAUUCCAACCUUGAUUAGGAAGCUGGUAGUGGUAAUGCGAGUGCACGAUCAUGUUGUUAAUUCAUACGAGUGAUAAGAGGAAUCGUAUUAUUCAAUCCAAGUCCAACGUAUGCUCGAUCCGAGUACUAUAGGAAGUUGAGCUUGAUGAAUCAUCCCUUCCAAGAACUUGAUUUCUCUUUCUGAUCAAACCUAAAUUGCUAGUUUAAUUGAGUUAAUAGAUUAAUUAGAAACCAAAAUCAAUUCAUUCAGUCUAGACCGUGUUGACGAGUUUGAGUAAAAGCUUAACAAGAGGAAUCCUUGGACACAUACAACAUUUGUGUUGUCGAGAUAACUUCAUAGUUGUUUUGGGAGAUCAAGUUUUUGGCGUCGUUUCCAUGGAGACUCUCUCGCUCCUAUGAAAGGACUUAGUCAGUGUCGCUUUAGAGAUUCAAUUCCAUUUUAAUUUCUGUUUUUCCCUUUCUCUUUGUUUUUUUGUUUGGGUUCCACUUUGAUUUUUUAUUUUUGGAUGUGCAGGAGUUUAGGUAUGGUAUUUGAGACAAUUUAGUCGAAUCUGUGAACAAUUACUCCAGAAUCUACAGAAUAAUCAACCAUCACAUCACCCUCUAUUUCCUCCUCAUCGACAACCCGGAGGUCUACCCAUCCUCAACCCGGAGGUCUACCCAUCCUCAACCUAGAGGUUUUCCUACCUCUACCGUCACCACCUCGCUCCUCACCUUUAGCAUCGUCCUCAUCACCAAUGGUUUCUUCUCAGUCAAGUUCUUCAAGUGAAGAAGACGAACUCGAGGGACCAACCAGAAUGGGAGAUCAGCCCCGAACACUUAGGGACUAUGCUCAACCCACACUUGCGGGUACUGGCUCAAGCAUAGUCCAUCCGGUAAUUGACAGCCAAAAUUUUAAAUUCAAGACUCCAUAUGUUCAUAUGGUACAGCAGAGACCAUAUUCAGGCAAUGAUCAUGAGUGCCCAAGUCAGCAUCUGAGGCGCUUCAAUGAGAUUGUAGAGCUCAUGAAGUUCAAUGGGGUUCAUGCAGAUGUCAUCCCCACAAAGCUCUCCUUCUCACUCUAAGGGAAGGAAAAAGCUUCGCUGGAUAACCAGCCAAUCAAUUCAUUUCAGACCUGGGACGCUUUGGCUAAAGCAUUCCUAGAAGAAUUCUUCCCACCAUACAAGACGGAUGCAACCCGUGGUUAGAUCAGAAAUUUCCAGCAAAGAUAUGGAGAGCUCUACCAUGAGAUUUGGGAUCGUUUUCAGUCCUUGUUGUAUUCAUGCCCUCAUCACAACAUGGAGGAUUGGACCUUGACAGACAUCUUAGCGCGUGUUCUCAAUUAUUAGAACACGCGAAUGAUCAAUCAAGCUGCAGAUGGGGAUUUGAAGUUGCUCACCCCAGUCGGGUGUCAUCAUCUAUUUAGGGAAAUGGCUGUAAAAACCAAGAGUUGGGUUCGCCAACAAGCGCCAAGGAGCUUACAAGCACCAAGUGCACCACCAUCGUUGAGCAAGCCACAACAAGAUCUCUAAUAAAACAUCGACCAGUCUCUCCAUCUUAUACAUUCCAAGGUUGAUGGAUUGGUGCAUCAAAUGAAUAGCAUGGCCUUGCCCAAGGUGCCCAGCAAUGAGGCCGCACCACCUCCAAAACCUCAACCAAGGAAGGCAGUGAUGGUGUACUACUGUGAGGGUUGUGGACAUGAAGGACAUCAUGUCAACUUUUCUUAGAGAAAGUUGUUUCGGGAGAAUAUGUGGAGAAUUUCGAGCAGGAGGAUUAUGUCCACGGGGGUCACACCCAGCAAGGCGGGUACAAUCCAGAUGGUUACCAGAAUAAUUUUUGACCCAACCAAGGUGGACACUAUAACUAUCCACGGAACAAUCAAGGUUACCGGAACUACCAACAACGUCUGAGACCUCACAGUCUGUCUCCAAGCCAACCACAGCUAGCUCCUCAAAGACCUCAAGGGCAAUAAAAUUUGGGGUACAAUUAAGGUUUCCAAGGGAAUCAAGGAUACCGCUAGGGAAAUUAAAGGGGUUAUCCACCCUAAGUACAUCAACAUGGCUUUAAUCAAGCCCCUUCAGCACCCCCCCCCCUUCCGGAUUCCCACAAGCAGCUGCACCUCAAGUUUGGACAACAUCCUCUUGAGCACCUCCAAUGGACAACAAUGUUUUGCUACUCCAACUCAUUCAAAACCAGGAAACUUCCAUCAAUAAUUUGGAGACUCAGAUUGGGUACCUCACCAAGGCCGUCUCCACUCGACAACCGGGUACCUUGCCGAGUUGAAGACCAUCACUACUAGGAGAGGGAAGCAACUAAAUCCCAUUCCUAUAGUAGUGAAUCCUCCCGUGACUGUCCCUCCAAAGAUGAUUACUCAAGAUGAAGAACCGAAGGAGGACGAGUUAGAGGGCAAGGAUGAGUCGGCUGAAGUUGAGAAUGAAGCCCAGAGGAGAAUGAAGAACUACAUCCUCCCUUGGAUCGUAGGGCACCAAAGAUUUCCAUGGGAGCUGCUUUAGUUCGAAAUUGGUAUUGGGGCCUCACAAGCCGAAGGCCCCAUAUCCCAACCGGUUGGAUGAACAUUCUCGAGCUAGGAGUUUUGCACAGUUUGUACACGGGCUAAGAGGAGUGCAGGUCACACUUGCCUUCAGCGAUCAUUCCAAAGAUGCCUAUGUACGCCAGGUUCUUGAAGGAAAUCUUCACCAAUAAGAGAAAGCUGACAUAAACUAUAAAUGUCACCCUCAACGAGCAGUGCUCACCCAUUUUAAUGCUUAGGAUGAUAUUGACUAUGACGAUAUUGAAUCUGAUGAUGUGAAUGACAUUGCUUUGGUUUUUGGGAUUAAUGAUGACUGACAAGUUAUCUCGAUUAUUCAGGUUAUAAUGCCUUGGCAAUUUCCUAAUGUAGUCUUAGAUCACUCUCGCGCCUCUAAGGAUCUAUUUUUUUAACCGUAGACUCCUCUCUCGACCUAAUCUACACCUAAACAAAGCGCAUUAAUAAUGUUCGAUGAAAUGACACAACGAUAAACGUGCAAAAAGCCUAAACGAUUCGCUCCUCUCUCGAGCUAACGAAUAAUCUAGGGUUUUUCCUAAGCGACCUAUCAAUCUAUGUUCCUCUCGGACCCACAAAUCAAUGUUGAUGACUCAAUCAAGAUGAUCAUACAAGAAUAAAUCUGGAAUUAGGUUUUAGGAAGAACUCAUCAUAAGUCUGAAUAAACCUCGAUAACAAAUCAAAUCAUCCAUAAAAAAGAUUAGCUAAAGCUUCAUCUCAUCCAAACAACACAGAAAGUUUAGUACUCAUGGUUCCGGAAAAUAAAUCACAAGAGAAGAGAAGAAAAACCGGAGAAGACGACAUGUUCUUCGUGGAAAUCCCAAUCUUCGACUUGAUUAUUUGCCAUUUGCCAGCCGUGGUUGAUCCUCUCGCUUCAAUCGUCUCUCUGGAACUCUAUCUCUCUCCAAGAGUCAAAAAAAUAUGUGUCUAUUCAGUAUAUGGAACCCUCGCUCUCUCCAAGAGCUCGAAAAAUAUGUGUAUAAUGAAGUAUAUCUCGUCCACAGGGGUCUCGGGGGUAUUUAUAGGCUUCUGGGCCAAGUUGGAGAAGGAAAAGGACUUGAAAAUCCAUCUGGGGGUGGGACACGGCAUGCUCCAUAUGGAACACGCCGUGUUACAAGGACACGACCGUGUUCCUGGCUGUGUUCGGCCCCUGUAACUUCUCAGGCAAUUUCAGCGGAGGAACACGCCGUGUUCCUUCAUUAUAUGGAAUUUGACCAUAGUGUCAACAACAAAGUUGUAGAAAAUCUAAUUAUAUAUUCAACGCCGCUGACCUUGUAUCAAUUUGACUUUGGAGCGAUGAGUUAUACUCAAAAUACUAAAACGUGACGCUUUCUUCCCAAGUCGAACACUUUGAGUUGUUCCGGCCUCCCCAUCAUGUCUUGGUUUAUCUCCAAACGUCAUAUGACACCUGAAAAGUUGUUCCGGCCUCCCCGUCAUGUCUUGGUUUAUCUCUAAACGUCAUAUGACACCUGAAAUGUAUAAAAAACAUACCAAACACCAUAAUAUAGCCCUGAGGGAAAGAGAACCAAACAUGUACUCAAAACCCGAAUUUGAAUACAUUUCGACACGAAAAAUAUUGUUUAUAACGGGAAAAGGUGUGUCGAAAAUACAUCACAUCAAUGUCCUUAAUUGAGGAGCAGGUUACUGAGCUGCCCAUUAGUGGCAUUACAGUGUUUUGGACGAUGUGUUCUAAAUUGUUAGGGAGUGGUGUGAAAGCGUUUCGGGCGAACAUUUAAUGUUGAUGGCGCGGUGGCUAAACCGCUUGGAGUUGCAGUUGGGGUGGGGGUUCGGGCUGACUUGGUGGAAGAAAUCAUGGAGGUCUACAUGGAUGGCUUGUCCGUGUAUGGCGAUUCGUUUGACCAUUGUUUGCUGAAUUUGAAGAGGGUGUAGCAGCACUGUGAAGAGACCAACUUAGCUUUAAGUUGGGAGAAGUGCCAUUUUAUGGUCCGAGAGAGGAUCAUACUUGUACAUAAGGUUUCUGGGAAAAGGAUUGAAGUGGACAAGGCAAAGCUCGAGACAUAGCGAAUCUUCCACUCCCUUUUCCAGUCAAAGGUGUUCGCAGCUUUCUGGGCCAUGUGAGAUUCUCUCGCCGAUUCAUCAAGGAUUUCUCCAAGAUCGAAACAUCGUUGAAUCGCCUCCUUGCGAAGGAUGCUCCAUUCACAGUCACCGAUCAGUGCAAGCGUUCUUUGAGUUUCUCAAGGAAAAGCUCAUGAUCGCACCAAUCCUCACUUCUCUGGAUUGGUCGCUUCCCUUUGAGCAGAUGUGUCAUGCCACUGAGUUCUCUUUGGGAGCUGUUUUGGGUCAACGGAAGGGUAAUCAGUUUCACCCUAUCUACUAUGCGAGCAAGUCCUUGAAUGAUACACAAAAGAACUACACCACCAUCGAAAAGGAGCUGCUAGCUGUGGUUUUUGCAGUUGACAAGUUCAUAUCCUACCUUGUGCUCUCUCACACUGUGUUUUUCACUUACCAUACAUUUAUCAAGUAUUUGAUGAGCAAGUCGGAUGCGAAGCCGCACCUUCUCAGGUGGAUAUUGUUGAUGCGAGAGUUUAACCUCGAGAUUGAGGAUAAAGAGGUUCCGAGAAUGUGGCUGCAGACCACCUCUCCUACUUGGUGGAAGAGGAGAUACAAAAGCAGGAUGGGAUCCCCAUUCAGGAGUGCUUUUCGGAUGAGAGACUCUUCACGGUUGUCCCUCAAGUUGUAGAAGGGCCAUGAUUUGAUGAUAUAGCCAACUACCUCGCCAGCAAAUCUUUACCAAAGGACGUCAUCCCACAAGGAAAGCGGAAGAUUAUGACAGACAUGAAGAACUACUUUUGGGAUGAUCCGUACCUAUUUUGUAUAGGCGCCCAUAAGGUGAUUCGAUGAUGCAUCCCUUACAACUAGACUUCACCUAUCCUCAAGCACUGCCACACUGGGCCAACUGGAGGGAAUCUUGAUGCUGACCGCACCACCUGGAAGGUAUUUGAUUCUGGUUUCUUUUAUCCAAAUGUCUAUAAGGAUAGUUUUGAUUAUGUGAAGUCUUGUGAUAGAUUUCAAAGGUCUGGCAACAUCUCUAAUCUAGAUGAGAUGCCCCAAAAUGUUAAUUUUGUUUCAGAGAUCUUUGAUAUCUCGGGGAUAGAUUUUUUGGGACCAUUUCUACAGUUUGAUAGUCUAAAAUAUAUCCUUGUGGUAGUUGAUUAUGUUUCCAAGUGGGCAGAGGUCGUAGCUCUUCCGACUAAUGAAGCUAUAAAUAUUGGGAAAUUUUUAAUCAAGUUCUCUCGGUUUGCGACACCUCGUGCUAUCAUUAGUGAUAGGGGUACCGAUUUUCAGGGUCAGUUCGACCGGGUGUUCCACCGCUUUGGUGUCACACACCGAUUGUCUACUGUCUAUCACCCACAGACUAGUGGGACUGAGGUGACAAACUAAGAGCUGAAAAGAAUUUUAUAAAAGUUCGUCAACCAAUCGAACAAAGAUUAGCCGAGUAAGCUCGAUGAUACCCUCUGGGCUUAUUGCACCGCAUACAAGAUGCAUAUAGGGACCCAUCCCUACAGACUCGUCUAUGGCAAGACUUGCUAUUUACCGGUGAAACUAGAGCAUUGAGUUUAUUGGCUUUAAAGUUUCUCAAUAUGGAUGCUAGUGCUAUAGGUGAACAACGGAAAUUUCAGAUACGUGAGCAGGAGGAGAUCCGACACCAUACGUAUGAGAGCUCUAGGAUAUACAAAUAGCGGACCAAAAGGUACCACGACUCCCACUUGAGGACAAUCAAAGAAUUCAAGGAAGGUGACCUCGUCCUCCUCUUAGAGUCAAGGCUCAAGUUGUUUCUCCGGGAAGCUGCAAUCCCGAUAGAAUACUUCAUUCACCGUCACCAAUGUCUUCCCUUAUGAGACCAUUGAGGUAACAACAUCACCCUCCUCCAAACCUUUCAAAGUGAACGGUCACCAUUUGAAACUCUACCGAGCCAGUGACCCGUUUGUGCUCUCGACGAGGUCAAUUGUUUCCCACUUUGAAUUAUUCGUGGGAGGACGUCUAGCAAAAGACGAUAAAGAAGCGCUCUUGGGAGGCACCCCUUGCGUAUCCAUAGUUAGAUUAAAGAAUAAAAAACCUUAGAUUGUGAUUUGUGUGUCUUUUGGUGUGUGUUUUGUGUGAGUCUUGUGUUUGAAUCAAGUCCUGAGUCAUUUAUUCGCGUCCUAGAUGAUAAUGCUAGGGAGCUGUGUUUGUUGGUCGUUGAGUGUGGAAGUUGUUGAAACUGGAAAUUAAAAUGCUGCUGUAAAACUGGCUUGCAGGUCGUGCACCCCUGCAUGCAGUGCAGGGUCAGUAUUAUAUUUCAGUUUGUAUAAAAAAGGAGUGAACGUCAUGCACCCCCAAUUGCUGAAAAUAAGCUCGGCGCAACAUAGGGUGAACGCCGUGCAACCAUGCACACCGUGCACCCUCUUUCAAAAUAAAAAACCAAAACACAACAAAACCCAAACCCGGACCCAAACCUCUCUUCCUCUGCACCAUCUCCCUCUUCCUCCCCUGAACCCAACGCCGCCAACCACCAUUCAUCACCCCGUCUCCGUCUUUCUUCUCCAUGGCUCCAUCCUCCGCAGACCAUCUCUGCUCAUCUCCUCCACCUAGCAUCCCCCACGACACCGCCGUCUUCACCCUUCCUUCCUCCUACUCACCAACCGCCUCCGACAACCAAUACCACCUCAAACCCUCACUGGUCGAUUCUCUGACACCGACGAACCCCUUCCCAUCGUCCUCCUUUCCCUCGUCAGACCCCCUAACCUCAACCACUCACUCACCAAAACCGAAACCCACCCAAUAAACCAAAAAACUCAAUUCCAUCCCGAUUUGGACGAUUCAGGACUUCCAUAGGUUUUCCUCAAUUUAGUGACUAACCAAUUCCAUCCUCCAAGCUUAUGUUUUUAUUAAACUUGUUGUUCGCUUGAUUUUUCAUUUGUUCGAUAUUGGUAGAGAUUUUGAGUUUGGCCGAUUUUCGAAGAUCUGGAAUUUCAAGUCCCUCUCAUUGUCUAGGUUUUUCAUAUGAUUGCUUGUCAUUCUCCAUCUGCCCUUGCCUUGCUUGUAUGCUUCACUCUUGUUGAUUCAUUGCAAUUUGCUAUUUCACAUAGAUGUUGGGAUACCGACAUUUUGUGGAAUUUGUGCAUUUGGUUCUGUGAGCUAUACUUGCUAGAUAUUAUUGCAGCCUCUUGUGCUUUGAUGCUAUGAUUGAUGAUUUUCAUGGAUUUCCUAUAUGACUCGUUCUAUUGCUAUAAAUUGACCAUUCCAUCGAUUCUUUGCACGUGGGAGCUUUUGAUGAUUAUGAAGCUUGUUGUGAUUACUGAAAUUUGCCCCCUCGCUGUUGAUAUAACUUGAUUUGGCACCAUUGAUGUUUGUUGUGCGAGAUGCAUAUUGUGGAUGCUCAUUUAGUUGGAUUGUUCUUCAAUUGUGCUACGAUUGUAGUUGUUCUUUCUUAAGAGUAAUUACGUAUUCAUGUCCUUUGAGUGAUGGUUCUCAUUGAGCUUGCCUUGGCAUAAUUGGUUGCUUUUUUCUCUAAUUCACGAGGAAUUGAUUGCUUUGUGUUGUUCUUGCUGCUAACCUAAAUGCAAAUGUGCUCUCGAUUGGUCUUUGUUAAAUUUGAUUUGUCGGAUGGUUAGGAAGAAGUCUAUCGCUCAUGGUAUGGGGAAGGUGACUGGCACCGAAAAGAGACUACGACCAAAUACUCUAGAGUCUACUUCUGCACCGGCUUUUCCACCUCGUGCAGCUCCUAUGGCAGCUCCUCCACGUCCACAACAACCGCAUCCUCAUCUUCUGCUGCUCCCUAGGGUCCACCACACGACCCCGUUCCAGUUGCUGCUUCAGCCUUACCACCCCUAGACUUGGUGCAGAGGAUCUUUAACUUUCAGUUGGGAAGUAAGUUUUCCCACCGAUACGGAGUGUAUCAGGCUUGGGUAGUGGCGCCUCUGGGAUACCUUGACUAUCAGGGCUUUCUGGAUAAGGGAUAGGGUAGCUGGGUGAUUAGAUACAACAACCAAGAAGGGAUUUGGCCGUUGGUACAGGUCGAUGAUUAGGAGCUUCCGCAUGCGACCAGGGAGUUCUACUCCACUGUCAGGAUCGCAAAUUACACCUCUACCCGAGAGCCAGGUAGUAUCACAUUUCGGGAGCAGGUUGUCAAGUUGGAGCCAAUGUCGUUGGCCACCAUGGAGAAGAAACAAAAUUUUGAACCCAAAGGAAUUCUGGCAAGAUAUCCGUAGGGAGGUACAACUUAUUUUGCUCAUUCAUCAAAAGGCAAUACGCGUUAAGUUUCCAAGGUUGAGGCUUCUUCAUCUACUUUUUUGACGUUCCAUCAUUGCUCGGAAGCAGGCCAGCAACCAAGGGGUAGUGAACGCCACAUACUUGUAGCUGUUUUAACGCCUUGAGAAGGGAGUGAAGGUUCAUCUUGGAGAUUUGCUGGUUCGGUUGUUUUGGCGUAUCCUCGAGCAGAGAGUGAUGGGAGUUCUGUUUGGAUGGAGCUACAUCGGAUGGCUGGUGCGACAGCUUGGAGUGUUAGACUCCAUUGGGCAGGACCCUUUGUAUCAGCGCGGGUUUCCCAUCAUAGUUGGAGCUCUUCGGGAUCAUGAAGUUCCAUACCUGACAGCUUCUGUUUGGCCAGAGGGACGAGAUGUGGGAGAGAGAGAGGGUGUAGAUUUCCCUCCAGAGUCAGUUGAGACACUUGCAGCCUAGAUGGGGGGUUUGCAGAUGAGUGUGAGUGACGUUCUGGAUAGUCAUAGAGGGCCCAUGCAUAACUUCAGUAGUUAGAUGGAGACAACAGAGCCACUUGGGAGAGCACAUAGCAGAGAGACUUGAGGGCGAGGUGCGAGGACGUUGCUGGGAUUUUCAGCAAUAUGCCAUUGAGAGUUGGGACGCUUGGGGAUGUCAGGAUAGGAGAGCUGAGCAGUUUACUGAGACUCAGGCUCAGCAUGGCCAGUGGAUACAGUAUUAGGGACAGAAGAUUACCUACAUCCACAAGCAGCAGCAUUGGUAGAGUGGACACAUGUCCUACUAUCAUGACAUAUACUUCACCGGAGCGAGUAUGAUCCGUACACUCAAUUCCCGGGGUACCCAUAUCCUCCACUAGAUCAGUGAUUGUUUGGGACGUAUUAGUGACUCAGACUUUUGUGUUUUUGUUUUUCAUUUGAGACUUUGAGAUUUUUCUUUUUCUUAAUUUUUCUUUUUUGGUCUAUAUAACUUAUGAUAACUUCGGUUACAUCUAUCACUAGUACGUUGUUUGUGUUAUGAUUGGACGGUUCUGAAAAUGGUUGUUCUAUUACAUCUCAUCAUCAAACUCCAUUUCAUCAACUCAAUUCCGUAUGAACUAUUCUCUUCUCUAAUGUGACUUCUUGUGAGGAUAAUGUUGUGGGUUAUUGGAUGAAUUAGGAUGCUAGUAUUUCACUUGAUUACUUUGAUUGAAUCCUUGUCUCUCAACAGUUGAAAUUCGCUCUUAAACUUGAAAACAUUGGGUGAUGUGGAUGCAUGUUAGCAUAGCAUCGCUACCUGAGGGUGAAUAGGAUGUAUGAUAGAUCAUUUUUGGUCCGCCUCUCAGUUUUCUGGAAACAAGUUUAGAAGAUAUUUAUGCACUUGGUUACUCUAUCUUGAUGCUUUUCGACUUUGUGAGAAAUUAAUUCCCCUAUCGAGUCGCUAUAGUUAUUUAAAGUAAUAUUUGACUAGAUGGUCUGAAUAAGGUGCAAAAGAGAUCAAUGUGCCCAAAUUGUCAUGGGGGUUCGGUUGCGAUUCAACACACUGGCGACUUUGAGUCUGUUGCCUACAAGCUAGUCCCUUUUAGACUUCUAUUGUCACCUCUUCCUAGUUGUGGGUUAGGGUUUUCAGGUAAACUCAGUCUAUGUGGAUGAGAACCUUAGCUCAAUCAGGGUCGUAACUACCCCCACUUGGAAAGAUGACCCCAAAAGCUAUACAAAUUUUUUGAAAGAUGGGUUUGCAAUUAAUUAAGUAAUUCAAUUGACCCAAAAGUGUUUAGUAUAUAAUGUAUAACAAAAUUGUAAAAGAAGAGGGGGUGCUCUGAUUUGAAUAAAUUAUUAAAGUAAGCACUCCCUCUCUUAGGACGGAAAAAAUACCCGUCCAGGACCAUAUGUUUUGAGCAUAAGUGAUAUGGGAAAUGUUAUUGUCGGUGGGUAUUGAGUGGUGCUAACUAUAUGCAUAGGUUUUUUCUUUAUUUGGAUUAGAAGACUCAGUAAAUGUAACUGUGUGGUUUGAUGAUGUAAAGUGUGUUCUUGACAUCGUGAAGUAGGCUUGAACUGCUAGCAUGUUGUUUCCUUCUCACAAUGUUUAGAGUUUGUUUAGAGUGCGAAUAGUACAGUUGCUUGAGGACAAGCAAGAUUCAAGUGUGGAUGGAUUUGAUAGUGCUAGGAUUUGUAGUGAUUAUCUAUCCCUAUCUGCAUGAUUUUUUGGUCAAUAUUACGUUGUUCGUGCUUCAUUCUUGUGCGGCUUUGUGUUUUGGAAUUAUUUGUCUAGACCCGUUCACUUGGACCGUUUCAAUCCAUUUAAUGUGUUUCUUUUUUUGUAUUUGUUAUCCACACGUAUUUGAGAGAUAGGUGGUCUGGCUACGAGGUUUUAGAUGUGGAAUAGAGCAUGGUUGGAGCUCGAACGGAAGAACGAAACAAGAAAUGAUGAAGCGGAAGAGCUUUACGCCAUGCAGUCCUAAAUUGCAUUUCACGCCGGGUAGCAAAACUCAAGGAACGUCGUGCAUGGGUGCACACCGUUCCUUGUUAUUCAGGACGUGACCAAUUUCAGCACAAGGGGUGCACAACGUGCACCUCCCAAACUUAGCAGUUUCCGUAUACGAGGCCGAAUUUGUGGAUAGAGAAAGAAGAUCUUCUCCAUCAAUAAUCCCUCGAUUUUCCUCCGACUUUCCUCUGCAAAAACACCAUAUCUCCAUCCCUAGAAGUCGGAUUAAAGAUCCGAAGGAGUCCCCAUUGAAGAUUGAAGCUAGGAUUGAAGCUAGAAGGCUAAAAGCGAAGAUUGGAGCAAGAUCGUUUCAUCGUCUCCUCAUCAAGAUGGUUGUUAGGUUGUAUUCUGAUUUCUCCUCUUCUAGAGUUAUGAGUAGCUAAUUCUUUAGAUUUUCUUGGUUGGGAUGUAAGAAUUGAGCUAUGAUAAUCUCUAUAAAAGUAUAGGGUUGACGAUUGUUGGAUAAUUGGAUUUGAAUGAAAGAUGGCUUCAAUUGUUGGGUUUGCAACCUAGUUCCUGUAACUUCUUGAAUUAGGUCAAAUCUAUAAAAUCCUUUGUUUGACCGACUUAGAAAAUCAUAUAAGGAACAAUCUAAGAUAGAACAAAGUUAUCGGUGGGGGUAACUAAUAGCUUGAUUCUACCUUUCAUGCUUCUUUUGGUUUUAAUGGUUGUUCAUCGAGUAAUUGGAGGGCGUUCUGGUUGGCGCCUAGUGGACCAAGUUGGGUGUAGUUAUCAGUAGCUUAGGUGUUGAUGGACCAAGUAAUAACUAUUUCUAAUUGCUUGGAUUUCCUUUAGUUCUUAAAGAGCACCUUAUCACUUUGUACAACUUCUCGGUGUUCAUUACUGGUUAGCCUAAUUGAGGUUAUUCCAACAUUGAUUGGGAAGCUAGUAGUGGUAAUGAUACGAGUGAUAAGAGGAAUCGUAUUAUUCAAUCCAAGUCCAACAUUUGCUCGAUCCGAUUACUAUGAGGAAGUUGAGCUUGAUGAAUCACCCCUUCCAAGAACUUGUUUUCUCCUUCUGAUCAAACCUAAAUUGCUAGUUUAGUUGGGUUAGUAGAAUACCUAGAAACCAAAAUCAAUUCGUUUAGUCUAGACCGUGUUGACGAGUUUGAGUAAAAGCAUAACGAGAGGAAUCCUUGGACACAUACAACACUUGUGUUGUUGAGAUAACUUCGCAGUUAUUUUGGCGAUCAAUACCUGUUACCCGAUGUUCAGCCCCAUUCAUGAUUAGGAUAGGAUUUAGGUUUAGCUAGAUUAGCUCCCAUUAUGCACUGGUCACCCACCAAUGGAUUGCACAAUCCCCCAGGAUAUUCAGUUCAACUGGACGUGUUGAGUAUUCCUACAGAUGCUGCUCACAUUGGUUGAGGACGUACAUAGUAUGCCUAGAGGUGGUUGAUGCUAAGAUGAUUCCUACAGGACCGCCUGGUCACCUUACUAGAUUCAGGAUUAGUUAGACUUUCUUACUCUAUUCUUCUCGGUAUAGUCUUAGUUCUACGCGGGUCUAGUUUAGCCACUCAGUGCUUAUUACUAACCCCAUUAUAUUUUGUUGUAUAUGUGUGUUUAGUCACAUGUACUAGAGUUGAUGAUGGGGAUAGAGUUGGUCGAGGUUUUGAUAUCGUUUUGAUGUAUUUUCAUACUGGAGUUGCAUCUCCUUUUGAUUUGUGGUGUUUUGGGAUUCGGGACCUAUUUGGUCAAUUUUAUUAAAGUGUUCAGUUUCAGCUUUUAAUGCUCAUUUUAAUGCUUGAGUUAGUAGUUUAGUGUUGAGUCAUGGUUCAAGUUGAAACCCGAGUAGGACUCUUAGGUUGAACCAAUGGUUCGACCGAGACUCCUAGGGUGGGGUUUCACAAAUCGAUGCCUUGGCUUUGAUCAUAACCUUUAGCUACAAGACAAGCAUUUUAUUUAUCGAUGGAAUCGUCCUGUUUAUAUCUAAUGCAAAGAACCCAUUGAGGACCAAUGGGAGUGACAUCGACAGGUUUGUCGGUGAUAGUCCAAGUAUUAGCUUGGCGGUGGGAGGCGAGUUCAGAUUGAACUGCUUUGUUUGAGUGAGGUGAUUUGGCGGCCUGGGCGUAAGAAGUGGGUUCCCGUUCAGCUAGAAUAGCCAAAACAAAAAAUCGAUGCGAUGAACUUAAGCGAUUGUAAGUGAGGAACUGUUUGAUGGGAUAGCGAGGAGAGUAUGUAGAAACAAGGUUACACUUGUAAUCAGCUAGAUAUUUCAGCCUGAUAAUGGUGUGUGUAGAAACUCGAGAAGGCUGGAUGGGAAGAGGCAAAGGGGUGGGAGAUUAUGAGGGAUUGAGUGAGGGAGAUUUGGAGGUGGUAGAGGGCACUGGUGAGGAACAUGGGGUCUCGUAUGCCUGUGAGAUGACUGGAGAUGAGUCAGAUGUAGGAGUAGGAUUGCUAGGUCCUAGAUUAGAUAGACGUAUAAAUGGAAGAGGAUCACUGGAAGAAUGUUCAAUGUAACGGGGUAAUGGGAGAGAUGGAGGAGUGUAUUGUGAUCGUGUUUACGUUGAUAGAGCGGAAAAAUGUUCUCAUGAAACAUAACGUCACGUGAAAGAAUAAUAGAGUGUGUAGGGAGAGAGUAGAGAAUAUAGGCUUUCUUGUUGGGUGAAUAUCCCAAAAAGAUGCAAGGUGAAUCACAGAGAGCGAGUUUAGACCGACCAUGGGCAAGGGUGGAAUAGUAUGCGAAGUAGACAUAAACUCGUAAAUGGUUAUCUAUUGGAGCAACAGAGUGUAAAAAAGCUCAUAAGCAGAGGAGUUAGAAAGUAAUAUCGUAUGAGAUAGAUUGAUAAGAUGGGCCACGUGGAUAACCGUAUAAAUCCUGAAUUUAGAAGGAAAAUAGGAUUGAAAUAGGACGUCACGAAUAAGAGUAAGGAUGUGUUGAUAGCUAUGUUCGACAAUUCUAUUUUGUUGGGAGGUUUGAAAGUAAAUGGGGUGGAGACUCCCAUGAGAAUCAUAAAGGGAAGGAAGAAGAAAUACCUUUCCAUUGUCCGUACGGAUUAUCUUUAUGGUGGCAUUAAAUUGAGUCUUAGCAUAGGGAAAGAAUUGCGUAACGAGUGGUCGAACAAUCCGAUUUAGGUUAUCGAUGAAAUCGUUGAUUUUUGUUCGAACCAACUCGCCUCGAACCAAUAAUGUUUUUGUCAAGUAAGAAGGAAGAGAUGGGGAAUCUGGACUCCAAUGAGAUAAGGCCUUAUGGCCUAUAAGUGGCGGCCAUUUGUCAGUUGGAUUUGAUGGAUCGCAUAGCUUUUUUGUAGUCAGGGGCAUUAUUGUCAUUUAAUCUUUCUCUUUUCUCCCAACAUUUUGUUUUUGAUUUCACCACUUCAGCCGUGAGAAUUUCCGGGCCAUGUCUAAUUGUGUAGCCUCUAUAUUGUUCACCAGCUUGCAUCAACUUUUACUUUUCGACUAUUUGUUAAUGCUAGUGGCAUGGCUUUUUAUUAACAAAGACAUUUUCUCUGCUUAUUUAAGUAUAGUGCAAAGGAAGUGUAUAACUGCAAAUGCAACCAGGUAGCUAGUACUGAAUGCAGAUAUAAACGCAAUAUCGUGCAUCAUCUUUAUCAGACCCAAUACCGUCAUCUUUCAUACUUUCUAAUAUUUAUUUCAGCAUCCUUUGUUGUGAUUGCAAUGUCUUUCUUCAAAUGUUUCUUAAUUUCUUUAAUUUUGUCUAGUUCCUGUCUGUCUUCCUCUUAUAUCCAUGGACCUACUUCAAAAUCACUCUUUUCGCUCUCUUCAAACGUUAAAUUGAUGUUCCAAUCACUCUCAUCUAACUUGUCGUCGAAGUGUACCCUUUCUCCAGUCACAUGUUCUAGUUCUUUGGUAGGGUGAACUACAUCAUCCUCAAAACAUUCAACGAACAUGUUAUAAAGAUUCAUAUUCUUGUAAGCCAACAACAAAGCUCUAACACUUUUGUCAUUGUAGAUGACAGGAAAUUUAGUUUUAUCAUUAACCCAUCUAACUUGUAAAAUAGUUUUUAUUCCCAUAACAAUGGAGUUGCACUUUAUUUUGCAGAAUGUAAGUAAAAGAAGUUGAUCAAAUCGGGGUCAAUAUUCUCAAUAUUGACCUUGUCACCCUCUUUGUAAAUUAAUGUGUUAUUCUUAUUGAUGAAGUUUCCACCCACAUGGUAUCCCAGGGUUACCGACAUAUUUUCUGUCAUUAACAUACAAUGUAAAUGCAUAGUUAAUUAAUGUUUAAGAAACCCUAAUCUCAAAUUGGCAAAUUAUCACAUAUGUGACCGAGAAAAAAAUUUGAAAAAUUUACUUGUUAAGAGUCAUCUUUAAUGUACCUUUCCACUCUUUUAAAGCUGCUACCAAUCUCGACAGUUUAGAAACUUUGAAGUUUUAGAUUUUCUACCGAAUUGUCGUCUAUUCACAACAGUUUUUGCUAUAAAUUUCUAGAACUCCUCCUCCAUCAGUCUUCAAGUAAAAAACCUAAAACUUUUAGAAGUCUCAAUGUGUAAAAAAAUGAAGCUAACUUGGAUCUAACUUCACCCUUUUUAGAAACCCACCAGCUCCGUAGAACAAAGGAAGGUCGAAAUUAUAAAGUUGGAUUGAAACUCAAAAAAAGAAAGAAUCGGCUUCUUCUUGUUCCUUUUCGUUUUCAACGGAGGAUAUGAUUCGUUUUCAACGGAAGUUUUGGUCAUGAAUCGUGGCAUUGAGCUCAUGGGUUCAUGGUUUGGCACCGAAAGUGGUAACAUCGGAGGAGGAAGAUAACAACGUUUUCAGCUGGGACUCACAAGAAUUCAGUCAGGGAAACGGGUCAUAGUUCGAUCUACGAUAAUAAUCUAGACGAAAACCACCUUAAAUUAGUCAGGGAGGCAUUGAAGUUGUUAUUUUUCGGAUAAAACAGAGGAAUGACGGCGGAGGGGAUGAAGUCAAAGAAGAUGACCACGCUCAUCUUAAUCCAAAACGACGUUAUUUUAGGACUGAACGAAAAUGAAAAAAAAAGUUAUGCAACUUGCUUCUCAUGGGAAUUGAACUCGUGGCUGCAUACCAAAGAUAAGGCAUACUAAACAGCUGUGCUACUUAUAUAUUUGCUAUUUAACAUUUCAACCUACCGAUAUUAUUUCUAAUCUAACGAAUCUCUUAAAUUCCAAUUUUAAUCCUACUAACAUUCAAUUGAACACAUUUAUAAAUACCAUGAAUACCCGUACUCAAUAAUACUCGUCCAAACCAAGUUCUUAACAAAAAUAUUUAUAAACUUUUACAUGAACAUUUUGUUCGAAGAUCGUGGUAUUACAAUUGGGCUAGAAAGCGACAACCCCCAGGCGGUCCAUAUAAUGCCGUUGUGUUGGGGCUAGAGUAUUAUUACUGAAUAGGGCUGUAGAUUUACUAAGGUUGACCCACUGACUAUUAAGCCUAUUGUAUGUGUGGAAUAAAGAAAGGAGAGUUGUAAUGAUCUCAACAGAGACACAUAAGAAUAGGAUGGUGUCGUCCGCAAACAUGAUUUGCGAAACAACUGCGCAGCGGGUAUUGACAUGAACCCCAUGCAAGAAGCGUUUUGAGAUUGCAGUUAUGGAGAAUCCUGGACAAUCCCUCAGAACUGAUGGCAACCAAAAGUGGGUUGAGGGGGUCCCCCUGUCGCAGCCCCCUGCUUGAGCGGAAGUAACCAUAAGGUUGCCCAUUCAAGAGGACUGAGAUCGUUGCCAAGGAGAAACACUCCUUAAUCAAGGCAACCCAGCAUGGGGCGAACCCUAACUCGAGAAGGAGGGAAAAGAGAAAUAACCAUUCAACCCAAACAUAGGUUUUUUUCCAUAAGGUAGUGAUUACCAGAGUAUGUAUUCAGAUAGUGCAUGAGUUCAUGAGCAAUGAGAACAUUGUCAGAAAUGGAUCAAUUACGAAAAAACUCAUUAUGGACAGGAUCGACAACCAUAGGACGGACUAGGCCAAGACUUGAGGUAAAAAUUUUGGAAAUUAUUUUGCACACCACUAUGCACAGGCCAAUCAGAUGAAGUUGAUGCAUAGUCUGUGCAUCAAAAGUCUUAGGAAUGAGAGUAAGCCAACUAUGAUUGAGGGAGGUCAACAUGCGGCCAGAACGGAAGAAUUCCAUUACAACCUAUUCAACAUCAAGUUGUACGAUGUCUCAAUAUCGCUGAAAAGGGUUCGCGAAGCCGUCUAUACCCGGCGCCUUUAACGCCCCAAUUGAAAAUAUUCUAGAGCGAACAUCCAACGGGGUGACCGACGAAAGGAGGGAGGCGUUCAUAUUAUCCGUUACCAGGGGGUGUAGGAGCAAUGCUGGGAGAUCUGGUGGCUGAACAUUUUCAGAAGAGAAGAGUUCAUAGUAGAAAUUUACAGCAAGGGAGAUUAUAGCCCUUGGCGUCCUCAUCCACUACUGCCAUGAUAUCAGAGUCUUGCUCCUCAAUUCGGUUGCACAUUUCGGGCAACACACAAUCCGAUGAAAAUAUUUUGUGUUAUGAUGAACCCCUUUUAGCUAACCAUUAUGACAUUUUUACUGCCAAUGUCAUUCCUCUUGAUGAUGAGCACAGAAACCCUCACCUCCAAGCCAUCAACUUCCGGCCAGUCUAUAGAAAUGUCUCGAGCUGAAUUCAAGGUUUAACCUUUUAUCCAAUAAAAGGUCGCGACAUAGACGCUUGAGUUUAGUCAUUAGCUUGUGUUGUGGCGUUCCUGUGACUGUGGCCAGGUCCCAAUAGUGGUGGGUGAGCAAAGCGACCUUAGAAUUAUCAGCCCAACGACGGUAAAAAGAGCCAAAAAUGCCUAAUGGAGGGGAACAUAAAAGGUGAGGCAAAUUGGCGCAUGGUCAGAGGAGAUUGGGAGAAGAUGUGAAAUAGUUGUCUCCGACCAUUGGAGAAGCAAGUGCUGAUUGAAUAGAAAUUGAUCCAAGGACUCGUCUAUCACCAUAGACGGGUGACAAUGUCAAUUGGACCAAGUCAAAAGGGCAACAUGCAAACCAAUGUCAAGGAGAAACGGUGAUCAAUAAAUUCUAGAAAGGAUGCAAUUCGGAUCGGUCUGGAAGUUUCCCUUCCUGCUUCUCGAAUGACGAGAUUAUAGCGUUAAAAUCACCGAAAAUGACUAGAGUUCCGUCAAGACCAGUGAGCAGAUUAAUGAGCGCAUAAAUUGUGUUUGAUGAGUCGACGAAAUUGAAAAGAGAUGUGUAGUUGAUAUUCCCAACAAAUACACAUUGCACAGUGAAAGGAAAACACAAGACAUGAAUAAGAGGCGUCCCAACCAAACACACAACCAAAACUUGGAUUAAGUCCAUCACAAUGACCAAAAAUUGUAAAACCAACGUGCUACAAGCAGCAAAAUCCAUACGAGCCUCACAUAAAAACAAAAACUUUGGCAUUUGGAGGCGGGCUAUUUCUUUGAGGGUUCGAACCGUCGAGUCACCUCCUAAACCAUGAUAGUUCCACCCAAUUGUUGUGACAGCUCUUCGGCGGGCCGAUUAUGGUAGACACUGCCAUUCACCAUCACUAGGAUUGAACCAAGAGGGCCUUAGGGUCCAACAAGGACUUCAAAAUCACUAGACUCAACAGAUUGAGCACUUAGACUGGGCCUUAGACACUGUGGACCUUGGCCACAACAACGCCUUUAACCAAAGCAGGCUUCGUGUUGCGCCCCAUAGCAAUCCCUACCGUUCGCCUCAAACUACACAAGAGAGUAAAUUGAGAGCCCAACCGGCCCUAAAAAGGAAGUGGUCAGAGGGCCCAGUUACAUGAAAAUGGUCGAGGCAAAGGCCUAUAGAAUGCUAAGGUUAGGGUAAAUACAGAAAAAACAACAGAAGGGAAAUGUCGGCUGUUACCUGGAGGAGUUAACGGCGAUGAGGUGGAUCCCAUAGAAUUUGGGCUUGCAGGCGUCAGCGACGGUACUGAACGAAUUGACAACAGAGUAGUUGGCCUUGGAGGACUUUGCCUCUUACGGCGGCAGACGCGCUGAAGCAGUUGCUGGUCGGGGGAGGGAAAGCCCCAACAUUGCUUCUUGAUGACGGCAGAUCUCUGGUUGAAGGUUGAAAGCAUUCACUCUCCAUUAAGUAUAAGUGUGAAGCGCCAUCCAGUGACUCCGAACCUCUAGGUCGAGAGGGGGCAGACCAUCGGUCGGGCAACAAUUGUAAUGGUAACCAAGAGUACCACAAAGAAUGCAAACUACUAGGAGACCCUCAUAGCAGAUGCGAACCCAGAAGUCAUGACCUGCUUCAGAGUAAGCAUGGUGGCACCCAUCGAAGACUCCUAAAGCAUCAAGAUGCACAAAUCCAAGUAAGGAAGCAAAUCUUUUAUUUAUUAAUUUUUUCAUUUAAAUUUUUGGCCACAUCCAUGACUUUUUAUCAAAAUAUAAUUUCAUUUCAUAAAUAUUGUUUAUUUCGAUUUUUUAGUCCAAUGAGAUCUAUUUUGAAUUACUUUUUCAAGAUAAAUUUUAAAUCUUUAGGUAAGUGUUAAUUAAGUUUCUUGACGAAAAUACAAUUUUGUGAAAAUGCUAAUUAUGUUUCGAAAUGGAUGUUGACUUACACGUUUGUGUAAAUGAAAUCCACAACGACUAGUUUGAUUUAUAGUUGUUUUUUGUCAUUUAUGGUAUUAUUAUAUAUGAAUAUGUCUACGUUAUACCAAAAUAUGAUUAUCUCUACGUCAUAUUACUUUUAUGUUACCCCUCUGACACAUUUUUAGAGGUUGGUGUAAAUUAACGCACAAUGACUUAGCAGAUUGUUGUAUGUUAUUUUAGGAGAUAAAAUAUUUUAUUUCUAUUAUAUCUAUGCUNNNNNNNNNNNNNNNNNNNNNNNNNNNNNNNNNNNNNNNNNNNNNNNNNNNNNNNNNNNNNNNNNNNNNNNNNNNNNNNNNNNNNNNNNNNNNNNNNNNNNNNNNNNNNNNNNNNNNNNNNNNNNNNNNNNNNNNNNNNNNNNNNNNNNNNNNNNNNNNNNNNNNNNNNNNNNNNNNNNNNNNNNNNNNNNNNNNNNNNNNNNNNNNNNNNNNNNNNNNNNNNNNNNNNNNNNNNNNNNNNNNNNNNNNNNNNNNNNNNNNNNNNNNNNNNNNNNNNNNNNNNNNNNNNNNNNNNNNNNNNNNNNNNNNNNNNNNNNNNNNNNNNNNNNNNNNNNCUAUGUGGCAGAAUUAUUUGCUCACCGUAAUUCCACAAUAUUCAAACUUAUUUUGUUAGGUAAACUUAAAAUGAUGUAAACUUUUAUUAGCCUUGAAUUUAGGUUUCAAAUUAUUUUGAGUUUACAAAAAAAACUUAUUUUACUUUUAGUGCAGUGCCUAGUCACAAAAUAAUUCUCCUACGUAAACUGAUAAUGUUGUGGGGUGUACAAUCAGUAUGCUAAACAUAAUUUGAAUAGAAAAACUAACGGAAUGGAGUAUUUAGUAAAACCUUCAAAGUUCAAGGAGUUUGAUUGAUUAAAAUUUAGUAAAAAUGUGUCGAUGUAAAUUUUACAAAAGUACGAUUAUGUACGAUUGUGGGAGGGAUUGAAUCGGAUAUAAUACCAUUAGGACACCCCUUUAGUCUCCCAACGGUUAGGACACUAUUACCAAGCUUAGAUUGAUCUAAUGGUUCUGAUAUUAUAUUUAUUAGUGUAACUUGAUUGUACCUAAUCAAAAUAAAAAUGGAUUUAAAAACAAUACCAGAAGCAUAUGACAGAAACCACGACAUUAUCUCAACAAAUUUCGCCACUUAUUUUCUCUGUCCAAAACCCAAAAAACCUCCUACGCUCCCCUGCCGUUCUUCAUUUGUUUGUUCGUAAUUCCCGUAGCCUUACGUCGAUUAGUAGAUCGACGUGGAUAGGAACACCUCUUGUUACUCCAGCAAGCCACCACCGAGCUCUACUCCGCAACCAAUCCCGCAGGCGACUACCCAAUUUUCCUCAAGCUCCAUCACCGUCGCUACCCGUUCCCGUUACUGUCGCUACCCAUUCUCGUUAUUGUCGCCAUUCCUCAAUAGCCACCGUCGUCGAAGUCCAGAUGUCACCACGUCCCAUCGUUAAUCCAUGAAUGGCAGGCAGUCGCUCUAGAAACCAACCACCGACGACAACGACAACCACAAGAAAGGACCUGAAUCGGUAGUCGGAAACAAUAUGCACCCAUCUGAUUCAAGAGCGAGGGCCAGUUAGCGUUCCUACUAAUCAAUUAUGUUUGUUUCAUAUAUCUUUUCCAAAAUCAGGUCACGUUUUGAUCCUAAUAAUCAAUUGUUAUGCUUCCACGCAGUUUUUUCCCGAGAAUUCUUAGUGGAUCCGAAUUUGUUCAUCAUUGUAGAAAGUUGACAACUUUUUUCUACCGGAACAGCUUGUGCUAAUAAUUUGUUACAAUAUUGGUGGAACAAUUUGUGCUUAUAAUUCUAUAUAGGAACCUGAUAGUUAUAAUUAACUUGCGGUUAGUGUUUUGGUGUAGUUUGUGCUUAGAGUUUAUUUCGGGAAUACUACAAUAACAAGUCAUGCGUAGGUGAGUAGGGAACACAAUGUAUCGUAAAAUGAGGAUAGGAACAUGGUGUAUGAAAAUGAUUUAUUUAGGAUGAGACAAACAUAUGAUGAUACGAGAACGUGAUAAGGAGAACAAUGAUGUAUUUGGAAUAAUUUGAAAAUAAGUUGGGAGAAAAUGAAAUUAAAAUAAAUCAAAAUGUGAUAAGGGAAAAAAGAUCAAAACAAAUUAAAAAAUAUUUAAAAUUUCACUUGAAAGUAAUUNNNNNNNNNNNNNNNNNNNNNNNNNNNNNNNNNNNNNNNNNNNNNNNNNNNNNNNNNNNNNNNNNNNNNNNNNNNNNNNNNNNNNNNNNNNNNNNNNNNNNNNNNNNNNNNNNNNNNNNNNNNNNNNNNNNNNNNNNNNNNNNNNNNNNNNNNNNNNNNNNNNNNNNNNNNNNNNNNNNNNNNNNNNNNNNNNNNNNNNNNNNNNNNNNNNNNNNNNNNNNNNNNNNNNNNNNNNNNNNNNNNNNNNNNNNNNNNNNNNNNNNNNNNNNNNNNNNNNNNNNNNNNNNNNNNNNNNNNNNNNNNNNNNNNNNNNNNNNNNNNNNNNNNNNNNNNNNNNNNNNNNNNNNNNNNNNNNNNNNNNNNNNNNNNNNNNNNNNNNNNNNNNNNNNNNNNNNNNNNNNNNNNNNNNNNNNNNNNNNNNNNNNNNNNNNNNNNNNNNNNNNNNNNNNNNNNNNNNNNNNNNNNNNNNNNNNNNNNNNNNNNNNNNNNNNNNNNNNNNNNNNNNNNNNNNNNNNNNNNNNNNNNNNNNNNNNNNNNNNNNNNNNNNNNNNNNNNNNNNNNNNNNNNNNNNNNNNNNNNNNNNNNNNNNNNNNNNNNNNNNNNNNNNNNNNNNNNNNNNNNNNNNNNNNNNNNNNNNNNNNNNNNNNNNNNNNNNNNNNNNNNNNNNNNNNNNNNNNNNNNNNNNNNNNNNNNNNNNNNNNNNNNNNNNNNNNNNNNNNNNNNNNNNNNNNNNNNNNNNNNNNNNNNNNNNNNNNNNNNNNNNNNNNNNNNNNNNNNNNNNNNNNNNNNNNNNNNNUGACCGGCAAGGUACAUUAGUGCACCGAUUGCACUAAGAUAAGGUACUUCAGGACCAAGUAGUUCUUCAUCACUUUCCCGAGGUCUGAAGGGAUCUUUUUUCACAUCUAGUGAUCUGACAACCAUCGGGGUACUCAAUGGGUGUGAUUUAUCCAUGUAAAAUCGUUUCAACACUUUAGUAGUGUAUCCUUCUUGAUGUACAAGAAUACCGUUUGAUAGGUGCUCAACCUGCAAACCAAGACAAUAUUUUGUCCGCCCCAAAUCUUUCAUCUCAAAUUCCUUUUUCAAGCAGGUGAUUGCUUUUGUAAACUCAUUUGGAGUCCCAAUGAUAUUUAUAUCAUCAACAUAAACCCAAAUGACGACGAACUUGGUUCCUAAUCUUUUUAGGAAAACACAUGGACAUAUCGGAUCAUUUGCAUAUCCUUCUUUGAUCAAAUAUUCACUAAGGCGGGUUUUACUCUAAAGAGGUUAUGCCACAUUCUGCCAGAUUGUUUCAAUCCAUAUAAGGAUUUAUUCAAUUUGAUCGAAUAACGUUCUCAAGAACUUUAUUUGUAAGCUUCAAGCAGAUGAAAUCCUUCAAGAAGUUUCAUAUAUAUGUCGUUAUCAAGCGAUCCAUAUAAAUAGGCAGUUACGACCUCCAUGAGACGCAAAUCUAAUCCUUCUUGAAUUGCCAGACUGAUCAAAUAGCAAAAAGUAGUUGCAACCACCACAGGAGAAUAUGUCUCAUCAUAAUCAAUUUUGGGUCUUUGGAAAAAUCCUUGGGCAACAAGGCGUUCCAUGUACCUUGUAAUUUCACCAUUUUCAUUACGUUUUCUUACAAAAACCCAUUUGUACCCGACGGGGUUGACACCAUCAGGUGUAAGGACCACAUGUCCAAAAACUUUUCGUUUUUCGAGAGAGUGUAAUUCUGCCUUAACUGCGUCAUUCCAUUUUGGCCAAUCCUUUCGUUUUUUGCAUGCAUUCAUGGAUUUUGGCUCAUGAUCCUCAUUUUCAUCAAUAACAUUCAGCGCUGAAUUAUAAGCAAAAACUUCAUCGACGUUAACUGUAUUGCAGUUCCAUUGUUUACCAUCCAAGACAUAGUUGAUUGAGAUAUCAUUAUUUUCAAUAUGUUCAGGUACCUGAUGCUAUUCUUGCGCUGAUAUAUCAGCGAUGUUUGGUAGCUUAUCCUCGAUUGGACCAUCUUGAUUUACAGCUCCUUUUCUUUUUCGAGGAUUUUUAUCUUUGGAACCGAUAGGUCUACCACGCUUCAGACGUGCUUUAGACUCAUUUGUAUUUUCAUGAUGUCCAAUAGGGACAUCUACUCUUGAUGGAGCAUUCAUUGCUGGAACAUGAGAUUUGGUUACUCGAUGUGGGUCAGUAAAAGCGUCUGGCAGUUGAUUCGCUAAACUUUGUAAAUGAAUUAGCUUUUGAAUUUCUAGUUCACAUUGUCUAGUACGAGGAUCAUAAUGAGAUAAUGCUAAUUCAUUCCAACUGAUCUCUUUGUCCAGCUUAUUAUUUUCUCCCCCUAAUGUUGGGAAAACUGAUUCAUCAAAGUGACAAUCAGCAAAACGAGCUGUGAAUAGAUCUCCUGUCAUUGGUUCUAAAUAUUUUAUAAUCGAGGGAGACUCAUACCCAACAUAAAUUCCCAACCUCCUUUGAGGUCCCAUCUUAGUGCGUUGUGGUGGUGUAAUAGGGAUGUAAACAGCACAUCCAAAUAUUCUUAGAUGGGAUAUAUUCGGUUCCUGACCAAAAACCAUUUGUAAGGGGGAAUACUCGUGAUAACUUGUUGGCCUGAUGCGAAUUAAUGAUGCUGCAUGUAAGACAGCAUGCCCCCAACAUGAAGUGGGAAGCUUUGCCUUCAUUAACAAUGGUCUUGCUAUUAACUGUAAGCGUUUGAUUAGAGAUUCUGCUAAACCAUUUUGUGUAUGAACAUGUGCUACAGGAUGUUCAACAUCAAUUCCGACAGACAUGCAAUAAUCAUGAAAAUGUUGUGAAGUAAAUUCACGAGCAUUGUCAAGGCGAAUCGUUUUUAUCGGAUAAUCCGGAAACCGUGCUCGUAAUCUAAUCAAUUGACCAAGUAAUCGCACAAAUGUCAAAUUACGAGUGGAUAAUAACGAUACACGUGACCACUUAGUUGAUGCAUCAAUUAAAACCAUAAAAUAUCUAAAUGGUCCGCAUGAUGGAUGAAUUGGUCCACAAAUAUCGCCUUGAAUGCGUUCCAAAAAUGUGAGCGAUUCAUUUCUCACUUUUAUCGAUGAUGGUCGGAUAAUCAAUUUUCCUUGAGAACAUGCAAUACAAGCCAAAUCAUUCGAUUGGGGAAUUCGCUUACUCAUCAACGAGUGUCCAAGGGAAUUCUCAAGUAUUUUACGCAUCAUAAUUGUUCCGGGAUGGCCUAACCGGUUAUGCCAAACUACAAAUCUAUCACGAUCCAUAAACUUGGAGUUUAUAAUGGAAUGUGAUUCAAUUGUACUAAUAAACGUGUAGUACAAAUCGGAAGAAAUAUAUGGUAAUUUUUCAAGAUAAUAUUUGUUACCAUCUACCAUACUUGUGAUGGCAAUAUAUUCUUUAUUUUCUUCCUCAAUUGUCUCGAUGUGAUAUCCGUUACGACGGAUAUCUUUAUAACUUAAUAAGUUGCGGUGAGACUUUGUAGAAUAUAAUGCAUCAUCAAUAUGCAUUCUAGUUCCUCCGUGUAGUAGCACGGUUGCUCUUCCGGAGCCUUCAAUUAAAUUACUACUACCGGAUAUAGUGCUAACAUUAGCUUCUCGCAUCACUAGAUGAGAAAAAUACUUCUUAUCCUUUAGAAUAGUAUGAGUGGAAGCACUAUCGAUGAGACACACAUCCUCAUUUUUUAUGUUGUCGUGGAUGGCAGUAGUAUCCAUGCUAUAACACGAUAAUGAUAAUCCAUAUUAUAAGGGACAAUUAUGAUGGGAAAUUCAUUAAUAAGAAGAAACAAAAAAAAGGAAGUGAGAAAACACUUUCAAGAAAAACAAACUCAAACAAAUCAAAUGAGAACGAUAAUAAGGUGCAUACAUCAAGGCACCAUUUUUGUAAUAAAAGAUAUCUCAACAACAAUCUUAUUUCUCAACAUUUCCAUCAUGAGGAGGAAAGAAGUCAGCAACAUCCAGAUGAGUGGUGUCAAAUUGGCCAUGGUUCAAAACACCUUCCUCAAUGACCAUAUUGGUUUCAACCUUCUUGUCUUUCCUUGACUCUUGGUAAAGAUUGAUAAGAUGUCUAGGUGGACGACAAGUGCGAUUCCAAUGAUCACCGUCACAUCUAGUACACAUAUUUUGAAAGUUUCUGUUGCUAGACCCACCUCGUUCCUUAUUCAUUCGUCCAUCCUGUUUGAAAUGUGGAUGAGAAGAGUGGUUGAAUCUUUGAAGGCGACCGUGACCAUAAUCACGUCCACGGACCAUGGACAUUAUUGCGACCAUAUCCACCACCACGGUUAUGACCACGACCACGACCACGAUAUUGAUCAAAAUUGUGGCCGUUUGUCGCGUUAGCUUCCGGAAAUGGAGCCAUACCGAUGGGGCGUGAUUGGUGAUUCUUCAAUAAGAGGUUAUUGUUUUGCUCGGCCACUAAGAUACAUGAUAUUAAUUCAGAAUAUUUGGUGAAACCCUUCUCUCGAUAUUGUUAUUGGAGAACUAUAUUGGAAGCAUGGAAAGUGGAAAAUGUCUUCUCGAGCAUUUCCUUAUCAGUGAUUUUCUCGCCACAUAGCAACAACUGCGAGCAAAUUUUGAAGAGGGCAGAAUUGUACUCGCUCACGGAUUUGAAAUCUUGUAGGCGUAAAUGCACCCAAUUAUCACGAGCUCGAGGGAGAAUCACCGUUCUCUGGUGGUCAUAUCGGUCUUUGAGAUUAUUCCACAAUUCGAGAGGAUCUUUGAUGGUGAGAUACUCGUUUUUCAAGCCCUCGUCAAGAUGGUGGCGAAUAAAGAUCAAAGCCUUGGCUUUGUCUUGGGCAGAUGUUUCAGUUUCAUCUUUAAUCGUGUCGCCCAACCCUUUGGCUUGCAAAUGGAUGUCAGCAUCCAAGACCCACGAGAGGUAAUUUUUUCCCGAAACGUCAAGGGCCACAAACUCAAGUUUGGAAAUAUUCGAGAUGCUAUAAAAGAAGCAAAUUGAAUUACAAAUAUAUUCUAAGCCAAAUAAUAAAACAUAUGAAAAAUGAUAUAAUAUUAAAAUAGUAACAGAAAAAAUAUAAUAAUAAUAAAAAAAGUAACGGUAAUGGAACGUUCAUUAACAUAAAAAUAAAGAAUGCUUUAAAGAAUGCUUUAAUACCCAUCUUGAAACAUAACUAUAUAUACAUUUAAAUAGUGAUAAAGGUUUUUUCUUUUGGGUAGGAACAAAAAAAAAUGAUAGAGGUAUUCAUGAAUUAUAAACAAAAUGCACAAAAUCAAAAGAGUUAACUAUAAUGAGAUGAUAAAUUUUAAUAUAUUUGUAUAACGGCUAAAAUAUCAUAUAUAUACGUGACAAAAACAUCAAUAUGAUCAUUUAAAAUAGGAUGGAAAAAAUGCUAACGAUAUAAUGUGAGUUCACUUAGAAAAAUGCAUAAAAUAUUUUAUAAAUAUUGUUGCCUAGAAGAGAUACUCAUGCAUAUGCCAUAAUAAAAUAGCAACUAUAUCUAUUUUAGAAUUGAUCAUGAAUUAAAAAGGCAACAUACAAGCAAAAAUAAUACUAUGGAAAGAAACGGAAGAUAUAAAAUAUGAUAGGUCAUAAUAAUAUAUACUAUAAAAUAUACAUGAUGAUAACUAAACGUUUAGGCCAGCCUAUAAAGGCAUGAUAUUUGACCAAUAUAAACGUUUGAUAAUAGUCAUCAAUAGAAAAAUGACAAAGUCGUUUUUGAAAUCGGUAAAAUGAGAAAGACCACCAUUUGUUACAUAUAAAAAAAAUAGAAAUGGAUUCCUUUCUCUAACUCUAAUUUUGAAAAAGAAGAUUUUAUAAGCAAAUAAAAGAACAAGAUAAAUAAUAAUAAUAACUUUGGAAAACAAGAUAUAGCAAAUAACAACCUUCGUGAAAACUUCGAGAAAAUAGGCAGAGCACUCGUGCUGAUAACGUGUUAUAAAACUAAGAACAAAGAAGAGAACAAGAACAUGNNNNNNNNNNNNNNNNNNNNNNNNNNNNNNNNNNNNNNNNNNNNNNNNNNNNNNNNNNNNNNNNNNNNNNNNNNNNNNNNNNNNNNNNNNNNNNNNNNNNNNNNNNNNNNNNNNNNNNNNNNNNNNNNNNNNNNNNNNNNNNNNNNNNNNNNNNNNNNNNNNNNNNNNNNNNNNNNNNNNNNNNNNNNNNNNNNNNNNNNNNNNNNNNNNNNNNNNNNNNNNNNNNNNNNNNNNNNNNNNNNNNNNNNNNNNNNNNNNNNNNNNNNNNNNNNNNNNNNNNNNNNNNNNNNNNNNNNNNNNNNNNNGUUCCUAUACUAUUUUGUUGGUACACUCUAUAUUAAUAAUUAGGAAACUAGGAUACCAUUCUUUUAUAAUCAUUAAAAAUCUAUUAUUUCCAUUUUUUUGGGUCUGAUUGUACUUGCAUUAUUUUGCUGACUAAGGAGAUUAAAGUUUGUGUUAGGAAUUCCCUUAUUUUAGAUUCAUCAUGUUCCUAACUGAAAUUAACUUUUAAUUAGUGGCGGCGGCUACGCUCCAUCGUAAGAGUUUACGCUUCCUUUAUUGUAUUACAAAACUCGAUCCUGAGGAUGUAUUUGAUUUUUCUUCUUAGACGAUCUGCUUUUUUACAAUAAACUAAUGUGAACUUAAUUGUAAGAAUAUGUGAUACUAUUAGGAAAUUGAAGUGCACAGAGGUGAGGUCAAUCUUGCCGAACUAGUCAUAUACCAAGUUUAAAUCUUGUUGUUCCAAUUCCACUUUCUCUGCUCCAAGAAAUCGUACUACAAAGGAAAAAUCUGCUUCAAGAUAUCCAACCACAGGAAAUAUCUGAAAAAUGAAAGCACCUAGUACGCUAUGAAGACACAUAUAGAUCCACUUAAAAAAGAAAGACACAUAGAUCCAAAUUAACAGACAUUAGUUGUGGAAACAUUCUUUAUUCGAGCGACCAAAAUUCACAACACACCGGAAAGAAACAUGAGUAAGAUGCAUUUGGUGCCUAACUACUGAUAUAAGCACAAAAGAAACCAACUCCACGACGUCGGAACCAAUAGAAACUAUAACCCACCCAAACCAACAAUACACACUAGUUCCUGUUCUAAAAUUCAAGCAUAAACAGACCCAUUUGCAGCAUAAAGGGCACCGCGUGUUCAAGGGAAAUUACACAAUCGAGCAACAACUAAAUUACCUACCAUCAAGACUAAUCAGAUUUGUGCCCAACAAUGUUGGUUUACGCGAAUAACAAGUUCAGAAAAGAAAACUUCUGGUUCAAGGAAAUCUAACCAUAUAAUGAACAAAUCUAACUAACUAAUUACGCAGAUUAGGAACCAAUAGCACGAAAUUAUCACCAGAUAGAUGAUAUUAGACAGAUGAAUCGUAAACCAUAAACAAAAACUAACCAAUGGUUUUGAAACCAAGUUGUGCAUGUCAGUUCUGCUCGAAUGGUUCUGCUAGAUUGCGUUCAAUCUGCCGUCGUCAUUCAAAUCCGUUUCACGAACUACAACUUCUUUAUCAGUGCUAGACGGUGGAGCUCGACGAAGAGAAGCAUGACCCGUUCUCUGGCGAGUGGCGUUGUCUUGAAGUCAUCAUCUAAAGUAUUUGGAUGAUGCUAAGAACAACGAUGAGUGUUUCUGGUUGGUGCAGGUCGUGGCGGCAUUGUCUCUUCAACGUCAAACGACGGCGAUGUUCUACUCUCCUAGCCGUUCGGAGUCGGUGUUAAAGAAAGGAGCAAAGGCGGGGUGGUUUUUUCUUUCAGCCGGAACUAAAAUGGAAGACACAAAUGAUGAGGGCUUACAGACCGCAAUCAUCGCCAAAACUAAAAAUUAUAAAAAUGAUCGGUCACCGUCAAAUAACCUAUGGAAUGCUACAACGAAUGAAGGGGUGGUCGGUGGCCAAAUCCCUUUACCUUGUCUUUGACUCUUACAACCAUUCUCUUUGUUGGGUCAUCCUGAUCUUUCCUCAUGUCAUGAAUGAAAUCUAGCAAAUCACACAUCUCUUUGAAGAAUAAAUGUGAGUUGACGAGCUCGAACGAAGAUAUACGGACGGCUCCAACUUGAUUCUGCAUGAGAAUUUUAAUUAGGGUUCUAGACUAAUAGUCAGAAAUUGAGAAGAAUGAAGACGAGAACUCACUUACUUGCUUAGAAGGAUGAACAGAACGUGAUGAAAACGAGAAGCGGAAGACGGGCAGAGUCAAUGGUUGGGACGAUCGAGGACGAGCAGAGCACGAUUGAGGUAUGAGGAGAGGAGGCGAAGACGACGAGCAGAAGAAUGAGAUAAGAAUUAGGUUUCUUUGCUGUCUGUAAUUGAGUAAUUGAAUUGUUCGACUACUGCCUAUUUGGUAGGGAUAUAAUGGGUUUGGACUUUGGCGUUUAGGGCUUGGAAUUGGAUUAAGAAUUCCAAAUUUCCAAUUCUAUAUAUGUAUUAAAUGGGCCGCUAGUAGACAUUAGUAAUUUAGUAACCCAAUUAAAUAAAUAAAUAAAUAUAUAUAUAUAUAUAUGGCUUGACAAUUUCCUAAUGUAGUCUUAGAUCACUCGCACGUCUCUAAGGAUCUAUUUCGUCUAGCCGUAGACUCCUCUCUUGAGCUAAUCUACACCUAAACAAAACGCAUUAAUAGCGUUCGAUGAAAUGCCACAACGAUAAACAUGCACAAAGCCUAAACGAUUCGCUCCUCUCUCGAGCUAACGAAUAAUCUAGGGUUCUUCCUAAGCGACCUAUCAAUCUAUGUUCCUCUCCGACCCACAAAUCAAUGUUGAUGACUGCAUCAAGAUGAUCAGACAAGAAUAAAUCUGAAAUUAGGUUUUAGGUAGAACGCCUCAUAAGUCUGAAUAAACAUCGCAUGAGAAUUUUAAUUAGGGUUCUAGACUAAUAGUCAGAAAUUGAGAAGAAUGAAGACGAGAACUCACUUACUUGCUUAGAAGGAUGAACAGAACGUGAUGAAAACGAGAAGCGGAAGACGGGCAGAGUCAAUGGUUGGGACGAUCGAGGACGAGCAGAGCACGAUUGAGGUAUGAGGAGAGGAGGCGAAGACGACGAGCAGAAGAAUGAGAUAAGAAUUAGGUUUCUUUGCUGUCUGUAAUUGAGUAAUUGAAUUGUUCGACUACUGCCUAUUUGGUAGGGAUAUAAUGGGUUUGGACUUUGGCGUUUAGGGCUUGGAAUUGGAUUAAGAAUUCCAAAUUUCCAAUUCUAUAUAUGUAUUAAAUGGGCCGCUAGUAGACAUUAGUAAUUUAGUAACCCAAUUAAAUAAAUAAAUAAAUAUAUAUAUAUAUACUGCAAAAUCUCUAUAUGAAAAUGAAAUCGCAAUUUAGCAACACAAAUUUAGUCUUCUAAACUUACAAUAUCAAAACAAGAGAUGUAAUAUAAAGUGUUCGAUGAAAUGCCACAACGACAAACGGUGCAAGACGCCUGAACGAUUCGCUCCUCUCUCGAGCUAACGAAUAAUCUAGGGUUCUUCCUAAGCGACCUAUCAAUCUAUGUUCCUCUCCGACCCACAAAUCAAUGUUGAUGACUGCAUCAAGAUGAUCAGACAAGAAUGAAUCUGAAAUUAGGUUUUAGGUAGAACGCAUCAUAAGUCUGAAUAAACCUCGAUAACAAAUCAAUGGGUUAAAACCCCAUCAUCCAUACAAAAGCUUGGCUAAACCUUCAUCUCGCCCGAACAACACGAAAAGCUUAGCUACUCAUGGUUCGGGAAGCAAGAAGGAAAGAAGAAAUGAGAACAACCCGGAAAGACAACAUGAUCCGUCGAGAAUUCUCAAUCUUGUCGUCGAUCUUCGCUCCUUCCCCAAAUCGAUGAUAUUCUAUCGCUUCAAUCGGUCUCUGAAACUCUUUCUCUUUCUAAGAGCUUAAAAAUAUGUGUAGAAUGAUUGGUAUCUCAUCCAAAGGGCUUCUAGGGCUAUAUAUAGACUCCUGGUCCAAAUUAGAGACGGAAAAGGACUUGAAAAUCCGUAUGGGGUGGAACACGCCGUGUUCCUCGGAACGGGCCCUGGAACACACCAUGUUCCUGGCCGUGUUCCGCCCCUAUAACUUAUUUGCCCAAUUUCACAAAUGGAACAAACCGUGUUUCUCUCCAGUCACUCCCAACUUGGCCCUUCACAGCUCUAAUCGUCCGUAUUUGCUCCCGCUUAUCCCCAAACACCGUACAUUGCCUGAAAAUGUAUAAAAAACAUACCGAACAAUGUAAUACGUCCCCGAGGGGCAAGACAUUUAACAUGUGCUAAAAUCUAGAGUUUGAACACAUUUCGACACACAAAAGCAUAGUUUACAAGGAAAAAGAUGUGUCGAAAAUACAGGACAUCAAAUCACCCCACACUUAAAUGCUUGCUUGUCCUCAAGAAAAUCUACUAAUCGCUCUCUAUAAAGAACUCAGCAUAUGAUGAUUAGAAGACAAAGCUUAGGUCGUUAAUUCUAUAAUGGUGUUCAGGAAUGCAAGCCAAUUAACAAACCACACAAUUUGGCAUGAAACACUGAUUCCCUUGAAUUAGUGUAAGAUAGAUUCAUGCAUAUGAUAUAAAUGAUUUGACACCUAACCACUGGAGUGUAUCCAUAUUCCCCAAACACUUAUACCUUCUAGUUGCUAGUGGAAGUAACAGACCGAUGGCUCGUAUUGGCCGGGAUUUCUCUUCCGUCCUUACGGAGGAGGUGCUUCAAUUUUUAAUAGUACUCAAAUUAUGCUAGCACCUCCCUCUAUUUUGAGUUGCUUACUUGACUAUUAACUCUUCAGAUCACUGAAAGCAAAGCUUGAAUAUUUUGAUAUUGCAUUUCGUUUCUUUCUUUGCUUUUUUCUCUUUUUAUUGCUCUUUUAGAUAGCGGCUUUUUCUGAAUGAGGGAAUUAAUCACAACUUCAGUCAGACUCAUAAGUAACCAGUCUCCAGCCCAGGCCCCAAGCCUCACAAAGGUAAGGACGACGGCAAACCACUAAAGUCGCCCUACGUACUUCGAUUACAACCAAACUCCCACGACAUUUUUCACUUAGCAACCUCAUUCAGACUCCUCCUGCCUGUUUUAAGCUUCAUAGCAACCUAGGCAAAUUCGUUGGGUGGAUACACAUACACUAUACUUUGACCGCUGAGCCACCAACAACUUGACGGCCAAGGGCGCCAGAUGAACUCGCUCCUUGUUGUGGAUGCUGUAUAGAAGGAAGAGGUCUCGGGAGGUGCAGACACUGGCAGAGUUCCCUCACCGAGUAAUGGUUGCACGGAGGAAGUGGUGUAGGAGUCGGAGGAGUGGCACUUCAAUUGCCGUGGCCUUAGAAGUGCUGGACUUGUAGUAGCCGUGUCUCCCGCCUUUCAACCGCUUUAAAGGCUCAGAAUGGGAAAUCUCAGACCUGAAUCUCUCGUAAGCCAUGCAACUAGCUCCAAUGAAGACGGUCAAAGGUGGACUGGCUGCCAAUUCCUCCAUCGUGUAAACCCGAGGUUCACCCCGAACUCAUUCAACAACCAGGAGUGGCGUGCUCCUCCACAAUGUAGCUGGAUAGCAUUUGGUUCCUUCGGAUCAGUGGUCGUCUUGACCCGAAUAGAGGUGAUCACCUCUUUGGUUAUUCAUCCCUUCGCGUCUUCCUUGACAUUAAACAAAUUCCCGAGGUCGACAUCAUCAACGGUAGAGGAGAACAGGUCCCCAAUGCCUGCCUCAUCCAGCUCAUCCCAAUCAACCCAUCCAGGAGCGGUGAUGGCCUUCUCUGAAAUCUCCUUCCAAACCUGCUGAUCUAUCUUGUCGGCUAAGUCGAAACACCGCGCCUUAACUGCGUUUGGUAUACCCUUCACCUGGAAAGAGGCGGACUGAUGCAUGCCCCAUCCUCGCUUACCAAGAGAAUCCAUCCUGCAAGAUAUAAAUACAAAAGGAGAUAGUCAUCCGCAAUCCAACUGCAACCGGACAAAUUCUCAAAACAAGGGAUAUGUCACAAAUCAAAACUUUCAUCACAAUUGCGGAAUAUCUCCAAAAGUUCCAUAAGUCACACGGGAUCACCCCACGCUUAGAUAACAUCAUAUAUGGCAACGAACAAACUAUAAACACGGAAGCACAAAGUUCACAAGACAAGUGCUUAUCCUAAUCACAAUGUGCUGACAUGUCAUACAGAAAAAACAAAUCGCCAAUAUAGAGUCAGGUAAUAAAAAACCUCAAUUCAAGGGAUGGUGAUCGCUAAUAAGAGUCAUGAAAUACAAUCGGCAUGGGAAAUGAUGUUCAAUUUAGUUCAUAUUCAUCCCAUAGUCCUACCAUAACAUCAAGUUCAGCAAGAUAAGGUCAAUUGCAGAAAACCACAAAUUGAACAAAUUAGGGUUCAUGUUCAUCCUAAGUUCAAAAAAAAUCUGCAAUUGAGGGCACAAUCAAAGUCAAAACAUCACCAACUUCAGUACACAACCUCACUAAGGUAUCAAUUGCACAUAUCCAAGUUCAAUUUCAGAAAAGCACAAAUUUAAUAUUCUAGGGUUCUUGAGGAUAAUCCCCAAUGUCAACAAAUCUUUCCAUGUAGUUCGAAUGCGGUCAAAUGGGAACUCGAGUCUGACAAUAGAAGGUUCAGAUAGGCAUAAGAGGAAGUGUAGAAUAGGAUUAUACCGUAUGCUCGACCUUAAAAUGGCCGAAAUUGAUAUUGAAAAGGAGAACUCGAGUUUCGAGUUGCAAUGGAGGGGAAAGCUUCUUCUUCUAAUGGGGGAGGAGAGAGUGGAGAGGAGGGAAAUGAGAGGAUAAAAUGGAUGAUGGAGGAGGGUAGAUGGAGUGAAUAGUGUGGAAGUCGGAGAUGGUGUGGAGGUUUGGGUGGGGCGGCGAUUUGAAGAGGAAGACGAGAAAAAAAUGGUGAAAUUCGAAGAAAGAAAUGAGGAAGAAAAAAGAACCUGGAACUGGAACACGACGUGUUCCAGAUGGAACACGUCGUGUUCCUUCACGCACGUGUUCGGCUUCUGUAAAUUUCCGUCUGAAUCUCUUUAGAAGGAACAUGGCCUAGAACAUGGCGUGUUCCUGGCCAUGUCCAUCCCCUGGAAGUUUUGCAUCCGAAAUUCCCCCUGGAACACGGCGUGUUCCUCCUCUGUCUUCCAAAAUACUAUAUUUCUCUUUUCUUCAUCCAUUCAUGCAAUCAUAUUAGUGAACAAUAACCACGCCCGAACGUUCCAAAAUAUUGUUUGAUAUCCAGACUUAAUGACUCGACUCUAGACUCACAAAAUUGAAAAAAGUAAAGAAACGAAAAGACUCAAAGCUUGGGUUGCCUCCCAAGAACCGCUCUGUCUUUUACGUCUUUGAGCUAGACGAUACAUGGAGUCUACGGUUCAGCUCUCUUGAUCACGGGAUGGUCGAGUUUAAUUUGUUCAACGACUCCGAGGAAUGCUCUAGUGGUAUACAUCUUCAGACAAUGACCGUUCACUUGAAAGGAUCCUCAUUGGGGCGAGUGAUUUCCAUAGCUCUAUGAGGAAACACUUGAGUGACAGUGAACGGUCAAGACCAGCGGGUUCGCAGCUUCCCAUGAAAGAGAUGAAGGCAUGAAUUAUAUAGAAGCACCUAAUCGCCAACCUUAAAUUCUUUGACAUCCUUCUGCUUUGAAUCGUGGAUAUGCUUGGUUCGUUCCUUGUACAACUUAGAGUUGUCAUAGGGUUGUUCACAAAAUUCCUGUAAUUGGUGUAUCUGCAGUUGUCUUUCCUCGCCAGCAGCAUUAGGAUCCAAGUUAAGUGCUCACAAAGCCCACCAAGCACGGUGUUCUAACUCGACAAGCAGAUGGCAGGCUUUCCCAUACACCAACAUGUGAGGGAAGGUGCAAAUAGGAGUUUUGUAGGCAGUCCUAUACGCCCACAAGGCGUCAUCGAGUCAAACAGACCAGUCAGUGCGUGAGAUAGCCUUCUCCAAUAUAUGCUUCAACUCCCGAUUCGUCACCUCAACCUAUCCACUCGUCUGAGGAUGGUAAGUCGUUCCAACAUGAUGGGUAACCCCAUACUUAGUACACACCUUAUCGAUUUGUCCAUGGAAAUGAGUUCCUUGGUCACUUAUAAUAGUCCUAGGUGUACCAAAUCUAGAAAACAACUUCUUUAAGAACUUACCAACCAUCCUUGCAUUUUUAGUGGGAAUAGCUUGAGCCUUUGCCCAUUUAGACACAUAAUCCACAACCACUAGGAUAUAUUUGUUCUUGUGAGAGGCAGGAAAAGAUCCCAUGAAAUCAAUCCCCCAUAUAUCGAAACUCCCAAUAGGAACUGUCAUAGUUUGAGGCAUUUCAUCUCAUUGAGAGAGUUUACCUACUCUAUGGCAUUGGUCACAUUUGUUGACAAAAUCCUUGCAGUCUCAAAAUAUGGUAGUCCAAAAGAAUCGGGCAGUGAGAAUUUUCCAGGCUGUUCGGAUCAAUCCAUGAUGCCCACUAGUUGGUCCGGAAUGACAGUGAGUCAUGAUAUCGCGAGCCUCACUGAGCAUUACACAUUGGUGAAUAAUGUUGUCGGAGCCGACUCGGAAAAGAUGUGGAUCUUCCCAGUAGUACUUCUUGAUAUCGUACAUAAACUUCCUCUGCUCAUGUCGAGUAAGGUCGGUUCGAAUUUUCCACUAGCAUGGUAGUUGGCAAAAUUCGGCAAACCAUGGCCCUUCAGCUUUUGUGAUCAGAUGGCGUAGAGGUGUUCUUCUAGAAAUCUCUCUCGAAUUUCAGAGGAUGCCUCACGUGCAUCCUCAGACUUCUCCAGACGAGAUAAAUGAUCAGCUGCAACAUUCUCCGAACCCUUGUUAUCCCUGAUUUCAAUGUCAAAUUCUUGAACCAGAAGUACCCAUCGGAUCAGUCUUUGUUUAGCAUAUGAUUUUCUCAUGAGAUAACGGAUAGCUAUGUGAUCUGUGAAGAUAAUAACAUGAGACAACAGAAGAUAUGACCUGAAUUUGUUGAAAGCGUACACCACAGCUAAAAACACUUUGUCUGUAGGGUUGUAGUUUUUCUAAGCUUUGUUGAGAGUUCUGCUGGCGUAGUAAAUUGGUCUAAAACGUUUCUCUACUCUUUGCCCCAAGACUGCUCCAACCGCAAAGUCACUCGCAUCGCACAUAAGCUCGAAUGGCAGAUCCCACUUUGGUGUAAUAAGUAUAGGAGUUAUGGUGAGUUUGGAUUUGAGAGUCACAAAUGCUUGGUGACAUGAUUGGUCAAAGUGAAAGGGAACAUCCUUCUUAAGAAAGCAAGUCAUAGGGAGUGUAAUCUUUGAGAAAUCCUUAAUAAACCUCCUAUAGAAACCUACAUGUCCCAGAAAACUCUGAACUGACUUCACUGGUGUAGGGGACAGUAGUUGAGAUAUUGUAUCAAUCUUUGCAGGGUCAACUGCAACUCCCUUCUUCGAAAUCUUAUGACCAAGUAGAAUUCCCUCUCCCACCAUGAAGUAGCUCUUCUCCUAGCUAAGAGCUAGAUUUUUUGCUUCACAAGUUUUGAGGACUUUCUCUACAUUUUGCAAACCCUGCUCAAAAGAAUCCCCAUGAAUACCUCCAUGAUCUUGCGGAUUAGUUCUUCAAAGAUGGCCAUCAUGCAUCUCUGAAAUGUCGCAGGCGCAUUAGAGGCUGAAAGGAAUCUUGCGAUAAGCGAAUGAACCAAAGGGACAUGUAAACGGUGUCUUCUCCUGAUCUUUUGGUGCUAUAGGAAUCUGGAAGGACCUCGACAACCCAUCCAGAAAGCAGUAAUACUCGUGACCUGCCAAGCGCUCCAACAUCUGAUCGACAAAAGGAAAAGGUAAAUGAUCCUUCCUUGUAGCGUCAUUCAAUCUUCUGUAAUCAAUACACACUCGCCAACUGUUAACAGUUCUUGUAGCAAUUAGUUCGCCGGCUGCAUUAGGCACUAUAGUCAUGCCACCUUUCUUUGGCACACAGUGUACAUUACUCACCCACUUGCUGUGUGAAAUGGAAUAGAUAAUCCCUGCAUCUAUCAGUUUCAAAGUCUCUUUGCGAACCACCUCCAUCAAAGGUGGGUUAAGGUGUCUCUGGGGUUGGCAGACUGGCUUCGCAUCCUCCUCAAGAUAUAUUUGAUGCUUGCAGUAAGUGGGGUUUAUCCCCUUAAUAUCAGUCACCUUCCACGCAAUUGCUUGCUUAUGUUUCUUCAAAAGGUAUACAAGGCUAGCCUUCUAUGGUAGAGAGAGGGUUGAAUUGAUGACGACUGGAAGUUUUGACACAUCCUCUAAGAAUGUGUACUCAAAGUUGUGAGGAAGUUCUUUCAACUCCAAAUCUGGUGGCUCUUCAUAGGAAGUUUUGAACUGUGAAACCGGUUCUAUCAAAAUAGGGUGGUCGUAUGCUAGUUCCCCGUAUGCUCGACAGACAGUCAUGGAAGCUACUUCCUCACCGGACCCUGUACCUGCAUUACAAUCCAACAUACCAGAAACUAUACUCUUCUCUAGUGGGUCAUUCGCCACUAGGUUAGUGAAAAUAGCCGUAGAAAGAGAGGUCACAGUUUCAUCAAAGAGCAUAAAUCAUCAAAAGCCAUUUGUCUGGUCCCAACAUAACUUAAUCGAAAGGUUGCACUCUCUAACCCGACCCUAAGAGUGAUAGUACCAUUACUGAAAUCAGUUAUAACUUUAGUAGUAUUAAGAAAUGGUCUACCUAAAAUCACCAGAAAGUCGGUUAAGAAGGUGUAUUUACCUACAGUUAACAACACAUCCUCUAAGAUCCCUCUAGGCACAGUUGCUGAUUUAUGAGCGAGUUUAAUAUUCACGCGUGUGGGCUUAAAGUCUAUCAGUCCUAGGGAAUUAGCCAUGCUAUAGGAUAUCAUAUUAAUACUAGCCUCUAUAUCAGCCAAACCAUUACUAACUUGAGUAUUACCAAUCUUACAAGGUAGAGUGAACAGACCAGUAUCUUGUUGUUUGUGCGGUAGGGUGCCAAAAUCAAUCUCUGAAUAGCUUCAGCCAUAUCCUCCUCUUUGUUCAACUCUAUAGUUGCGUCCUCCGCAAGAGCCAGCAACUCUGAAAGCUUCCUUUUGUUCGUCACCAAAUCCUUAAUAAACUUGGCAUAAUGAGGCAUCUCAUUCACCACUUUCACAAAAAAGCAUAUCGACAUGCACGAAAUUCAGCACUCUCAUGAAUGCAGCAAACUGCUCUUCAUACAAUUCCUUAUUUAGGCGAGCAGGAUAUGGAACUCUCGGCUUGUAGCGAUUCUCCACUGGUGGGGGAGUAGGGGGAUCGAAGAGGAGGUGUCCCCUCUGGUCUAACCAGCGAGGUGGUAUGUUGUGGCUCUUCCGUUGGAGUAUCGUCUUCAUCGAACAGUGGUGGAGGUUGCACUGAUGGUUUGACCAUCUUCAUUGGAGGAUCUUGCAGCUGCUUUCCACUUCUAGUUUCAAUUGCCCCCACGUCUUCAUGUUGUAUUGGAUUUGGAACGGUUGAAGUAGGCAUCCCGUUUGGCUUUGCAUUGAUACGUUUGGUUAGAUCCCCCACUAGGGUCUCCAAAUUUUUGAUUGAAUUCAGCUGUGCUUCACUAUUAGCCACGAUGCGCUACAGAAGAGCCUCCAUUGAUGGCUGCUGUUGCUGAGGGGGAAAUCUUAGGGGAGCCUGAUUAGAUGAAUAGGUGCUCUGAUCCUUUUCCUCGUAGCUCUCGUUGACAUAUCUCUACUGGUUGUUGUGUGAGUAACACGGUUGUCUUUGGCGGUUCUACUGGCACUUACCCUGAGUUCUGUAGGUGUUCUGGUGAUGUUAUUGGUAACUACCUGUAGCUCUAUAGUUCUUCUGUCCUGGCUGUUCUCUGGCUUGGUAAUUAUUCAGGUUCUUGUUGAAAUUCUGCCCCGACAGUUGGUAGCAUUUCUGACCCUUAUUGUAGUUAUGAGUUUGCUGAAUUGGUUGUUGAUAGGUAUUCUAGUUCUGACCACCCACAUAAUCUACCUGCUCUUGAUCCAUGCCAUGCUCGAGAUCUGCCAUAUAGUUUCACACGUCAUGAUCAGUUCGUCCAUAUCCUUCACAAGCAUAUACACAAGCAGUAAGUGUAUUUGAAGGCCUUUGGGAAUGUUGGUUGCUUUUCUGAGCUAACUCUAAACUAUCCAUGUUCUUAGUGAGCAAUUGCAUCUGGUCAAGCAGUUGAGCUUGUUGAAAUUCUAUAGUGGAUGCGGCUUCUUCUCUUGCCACUACUUUAGACCUCAUUUGUUGAACUUGGUUUCUGGGCACAUUCAGGUAAAUGUCUACUGGAUUGGUAAGGAUAAGGGUCCUCAUCUUCUCAGCAUAGGCUCGGCAUGCUUUAAGGGCUUGAGUUGGUGUUAGAUAUGUAAGGUUGCCUGGAAUGGACAUGAUGAGAUCCUUCUACUUGUGGUAGCCCCUGAUGAAGGUCCUGAUCCUGGUAUGCACAUCCAAGUCGUGAGGGCAUGAGUGGAGGAGACUCUGGAACCUAUGCCAAGCAUCAAAGAACGUCUCGUUAGAUGGACUCUUGAAUUGAGAAAUUCUAGCCUUCAAUGCCUCCGUUCUGGAUGGAGAGAAGAAUUCCUCCAGAACUCUGUAGCUAAGCCAUACCAAGUAGUGAAGUGUCCUGCUGGAUGCUCAUACAACCACUCUUGUGCUUCCCUUUGAGAGAAAAUGGGAAUAGACUGAGCUUGAGAUCGUCGAUGUGUACUCCUCUUACCUUAUUCGUCUCAGCUAGACGCGCAAAAUCCCUGAUAUGAGCAUUAAGGUCUUCAUCCAGUCCUCUAGCGAAUUACCUUGAUUUGAUAAGCUUGGUCUCCCUUGAUUGGAGAUUGAAUACUCGAAGCAGCUCCUUCGAGAGUAGGCCGGCCAUAGUCUCUUAAUGGCCUCUCAUGAGGAAUGAGUGGAAACUGUGCGUUGUGGUGGUUGUCAUGGUCUCCAUCCUCGUGAUUACGGUUGUUGUUGGGAAUGUUGUUAUGGUUAUCAUUGUUGUUAUGGUCUUUGUCGUUGUUGUUGGGAAUGUUGGUGUGGUUAUCAAAGCAAUCGCUUGGAAGCUAGUAGACAUCAAACAUAUUUGGCCCUGAGUUGGGAGAAGUGCCACUUCAUGGUCGAGAAGGGAAUCAUCCUUGGGCAUAAGGUCCCCAAACGAGGUAGGGAGAUGGACUGAGCUAAGCUUGAAACCAUCUCCCAACUUCUCCAUCCUAAUAAUGUGAAAAUUGUUCACGGCAUAUUAGAACAUGCAGAAUUUUAUCUAACAUAACAUGCCCAAUGACUAGAUUAUUAGAGAAAGAUGUUUCAUUUGUUUUCGAUGAAAAUUGCUUGUAGGCUUUCAAUAUUAUGAAGAAGAAGCUAGCAAGUGCACCUAUCUUGGUUGCCUUGGAUUGAGAGGCACUGCUUGAGUUGAUGUGUGAUGCAAGUGAAUUUGCAGUGGGAACAGUGCUUGGAUAGAGGAAGAAGAAGGCUUCCAUCCCAUCAAUUUUGCAAGCAAGAACUUGAAGGAUGCACAGAGGAACUGCACAACAGUUGAGAAGGAGCUUCUUGCAAUAGUUUUUGCAUUUGAUAAAUUUUUCUCGUACUUAGUUUUAUCCCAUACUAUUGUGUUCACGAUCAGUAUGCUCUUAAAUAUAUCUUCACUAAACAGAAUUCAAAGCCAAGCCUUACUAGAUGGGUGCUGCUCCUACAAUAAUUUGACAUCACCAUCAAAGAUAAGGAAGUAGCACAAAAUGUAGCAUUAUAUCAUCUAUCUCACCUCGUAGGGCCCUCCUCAAGUCAGUCUUUUCAAACCGAGAUCAAUAAGUUUUGCCCUGCUGAAAUAUUGCUUUUGUUGGAGCAUGCAAAUCAGAUCACGAAGUACCCCCAAAGGGAAGUUCCCAUGGUUCCCACCAAUCGCCAACUAUCUAGAUGUCGGCAUCGUAGAUGAAUCCCUCGACCAUCAACAAAAGAGGAGAAUUUUCACUGAAGCAAAGCACUUUCGUUGGGAUGAUCCACGCCUCUUUCGAGUACGAGCUGACGAAGUCAUUUGCCUAUGCAUUCCAAUUAAAAACUAUAGAGCAUCUUGGCACAUUCCUCACCGGAGCUACCGGAGGACAUCAGAGUGGAAAUCGUACCGCACACACUGCACUCGAUUCCGGUUUUUGUAUUUUUGGAUGGGAUACCUCUCGGAUGAGAUAUCCGGGUAGCAAACAACCCUAAGCUGACAAAUUAGGAUAUGGGAAACGCAAAUUAAUGUUAAUGAGAACCCAAAAGGAUAAAUUGCAGGGAGGGGAGGAGGCAGGAAGAAAUUGUAAGGCAAAACGUGUAGUAUCAUGAGCAGAUACCUUGCCUUUGAAUAUAGAAAAUUUGAUAUUGGAGGAAGAGUUUGAGAAGGGAUCUGAUUUCUUGAAUAAGUACUCCUCCACGAGGGUGUUGAGAGAUAGGAUGAAUGAUUUUCAUUUGAACAACAAAAGCAUCAUCUUGAAAAUCUAUCCUUUGUAAAUUCCGCUCGAUACCCCAAAUUAUUGCUUCAUAAAUUGCUACAGCUUCAAUAACAAAAAUGUCUAUUAUAUUGGAAAAGCUUCAACCACUAUGAGGAAGGAUUGGGCCAUUGCAGUUGCGAACUACUAAGCAAUUUGGAUUCGUGUAGCCCCAUCCACUAAGAUAAAAAGUCUAGUAGUACUAAGAAGAGGCCAUGUAGGUGGUGGUAUGGGAAUUUCAGGGGGUUUGAGUUUAUUAGUAAUUUCCUUGGCAGCUUAUUGUUGGAAUAAUUCAGCGUAUUAAUGAUGAAAUUGGGCUUGAUCCAGGUUGAAAACAACAUUAUUUCUUGAUUUCCAUAGACGCCACCAAAAGAAAAUGAAUUGUGUUGGAUUGUUGGGAAAUGACCAACCAUGAUUCAAUGAUGUUAUUAAUUGUUCUUAGGUGGAAAGGCAUUGCCAAACAAUUCCCUAAUAAUUGAACUAUGGACAAGUAAAAAGUAGGUGGUCCACAGUUUCAUCACCUUGCAAACAAACUAGGCAUUCAAUUGUUAUAGUUUGACGUCGGUACUGUAGAAAUUCACGAGUAAGCAAAAUUCCUCAUAGAAAUUUCCAUAGAAAGAAUUUGAGUGGGUGUAAUGUUCAUCUUGAAUAAAUGGUUGUACAAUAAUGUGGUAGUCUGAUAACACUGUAUAUGUUCCUGAAGCGACGAGUGGAAUCAGGAACCGAGGUAGAGGGAUGGUGGUGAUUUUCUUUACAUCCUCAAAGGUGAAGGUAUUGUAGAGGCGAGGAAGGUCCCAUUUCCCUUCACUAAUGAAAUCAUAGACGUGGAGGAACAUGGAUCAAGGAUCUAGAUAUGGUAGAAGGGAAGGGGCUCGAGGUGGAAAGGUUGUGAGCAAGUUAUCAUUCGACGCAUUGAUAGAUAAACCAUCUCGUACUUGCCAGCGUAAACCUUGGAUCAUUAAAUCCCGGCCAUGUAAGAUACUUCGCCAACACCAUGAUGGUCGUGGUCCUAGUUCUGCUGUUAAUAGGGACGUGGAGUGGUAAUAUUUUGCUUGGUAGAUUUUAGCAAGUAAGAGAUUUGAGUUUUGAAGAAGACGCUAGAAUUGGCAACCCAAAAGUGCGUGAUUAAAACCUUGGAAAUGUCGGAAGCCCAAACCAUUUGCUUCAUUUGGUCUGCAUAAUCGAUCCCAUGAGAGCCAAUGGGUUUUCUUAAUGACUUCAUGUUUUCCCCACCAGAAAUCCCCUAAUAGUUUAUGAAAGCAUUCAAUAUUGUGAUUUGGGAUCCAAAAAAACUCAUUGUAUGAACAGGGAUGACAGAGAGUACCGAAUUGAUUAAUACUUCCAUCCUAGCAGGGGAUAAGAAGGAACCGUGCCAGGUAUGGCUCCUAGUCAUAAUCAUGUCUUCAAUAAAUUUAAAAGAAGUUAUUUUUUAGCGUUGGAGCAUAGUAGGAAGGCAUAGAUAACGAUCAUGUAUCCCAAUGGUGUCAACCCCUAAUUAUGUGAUAAAGGAGUGUUGUGCAGAUUCCGAUUUUUGUUGGCCUUCUAUUUUCCUUGAUUGCAAUUACUUUGUUAGAUGAUGCGAUAGAUGUCAGAGAACAUGGUAUAUAUCUAAUAGGAAUGAGAUGCCUUAAAAUAUAUCAUUUUCGGUAGAACUCUUUGAUGUAUGGGCUAUCAAUUUUAUGGGCCCUUUUCCACUAUCUCACUAUAAUUAGUACAUUUUGGUUGUUGUGGAUUACGUGUCUAAGUGGGCGGAAGUGAAAGAGUAGCCCACUAAUGAUGCUAGGACGGUGGUGAAGUUCAUCCAACAUCUUUUCACACGUUUCGGUGCCCCUCACUCUAUCAUAAGCGAUCAGGGUACUCACUUCCAUUGUCAAUUAGAUAAAGUUUGCCAACAAUUUUGUGUAAGUCAUGGUAUGAACACUACUUACCAUCCACAUGCUAGCGGUCAAGCAAAAGUGAAGAAUCACGAGCUUAAGCAGAUUCUUGAUAUGACGAUUGAUUAGUCUCCCAAAGACUGGUCGAUCAACCUCAAGGAGGCCAUUUGGGCCUAUCGAAUUGCUUUCAAGACUACUACGACACUUGUUCGUAUCGACUAGUUUAAGACAAAGCUUGUCAUCUACCAAUCGAGCUUGAGCAUAAGGUGUGCUGGGCCAUGAAGCUAUUUAAUAUGGAUGUUAGUGUUGCAGCUUUAGAAAGAAAAUACCAACUCCUGGAGUUGGAGGAGU
rnacentral:lncRNA from 1 species